rnacentral:lncRNA from 1 species
AAAAAAAAGGUAUGUUUGGUUAUAUCACAUGGUUUAUCAGCAUUUGAUCAUAUAUUUAAUUAAUCAAAAAUCCAAAACCAUUUUCAAUAUAACCAGCUUAUAUAGUGGAACAAUAGUAAAAUGAUUUAUUUUGUGAAUUGAGAGAUUAGCGCUCCAAUCCUCCACUAUAAUUUCAGAACAGAUCAUGCCAGAGAUAUCGAAGUAAAACUUGUUAAAGUACUAGUAUAGUUCGAUUAUCAUUAUUUCUCAAUGCUAUCACAAUACUUAAUUAGAUGCGUAAUUAUAAAAUUAAUAAAUAACAAGUAAGAAUCAAGGAUCAUGAGUAGUAGUGGCUUUGGAUGAGCUGGAAGACAACUAUAACACGAGUAGUUGCACAGUGUGAUUGGAUACCCUUACAGGUUUAUACACCCCGUCAGAAUCCACAGAGUUUUUAUAUAGUAGUUACGAAUUUUGCGGAAAAUUUCUGUGUUUAGUUUUGUUAUGCUUAAGCAAAGCAUCAGUUGCCAAUACAAAUUUUACCGAUGAAAACAAGUGUACGAAAACGCACUCAACAUAUCUUUUCAAAAAUAUUUAUAACUUAGUGUUAAUACUAUACGUUAAGUUUAAACUAUAAGUUUGUUCCGCUUCAUUUGCUUCGCUUGAUUCUAGUAUUUACACGCUAACUUUACAAUAUGUCUUUGCGAAAUAAUAUGUUUUACUUGUUCCAAUAUUCAUAUGACUAAUGGUCAUAUUCUAAAGGCCCUCAUCCUCUCCUUUGGUGACAUGUGCUCUAGUGCUGCACUAAUACUCAUGUUUUAAUUUAUUAAGCAAUAAAUGGGGACAAGAACCAAACAUCAACAAUUAUAACAACGCGUUAACGGAACGAAUAAUUAAUUUUUUUUUCUUUAUUUCUCUAAAAUAAAAUUGAAUAAUCCUUCAUUUUAAACUCUCUACCUUCUUCACGCGUAUUCUCCAACUUAUAUAAUUUAAAAUUAAAAUUUCCAACUACUUACCUUGUCUCUUUUACUCUUUUAUUAUUCUUUAUAGACUACAGAAACUCCACCUAAAUCUACUUUUAGCUUUUAUAUAGAUAGCAAAAUGUUUAAAAAUGUAUAUUUUUUUUGAAAAUGUUUAAAAAUGUAUAUUGACACAAAGAUAACGUGAAAGUGCAUAUUAUAGUUCAGUAUAAUAUCCAAAUUGUCGACUAGUGUUUUGUAUUUUGUUGGAGAUUUGAGUCUUACUCUUUAGUGUUUAAGUAACAAAUAGUUUUAGCUAUCUUUAUUACACAUGUCAAAAACAAUUACAAUAUGUCCUGGAAAUUGUAUGAAAAUGUUUUUGGAAUACAUUGAAACUUUUUUUUUCUAAACUCCAAAAGGUUAAAAUACUAAGCAAAUGGGUAACGUCUAGGUUAGUGAACGGUUGUACCGAAAAAGAUUUUAUAUAAGAAAGAUCUUUUCCCAAAUUAAUAAUAUUAACUGCAUACAUAUCUCUCUCCCCCUCUAUAAAAUAUAAUCUUCAGACAAUGUUCACUUCAAGUCUCUCUUGUGUAACAGAACAUCAAAGCUCCUUUUUCCUGAGUUCUCUGUUCUUAAAGGUCAAGAGUUAUGGUGAGAGUCAUUCUUCUCUACAAUCUUUUAAACUCAUUUCUUCUUUGUCUGGUUCCCAAGAAGCUUAGAGUUCUCUUCCCUCCUUCGUGGUACACCGACGACAAGAUCACACCACCGUCUGAAUCGGAAUGUUCUUUGAGAACAGACCCGGUGGAUCUAAAAAGAGUGUUUCAGAUGUUUGACAAGAACGGAGACGGCCGCAUCACAAAGGAAGAGCUAAAUGAUUCUUUAGAGAAUCUAGGAAUAUUCAUGCCAGACAAAGAUCUGAUCCAGAUGAUCCGAAAGAUGGAUGCAAAUGGAGAUGGCUGUGUAGACAUAAACGAGUUUGAGUCUCUUUACGGUUCGAUAGUUGAAGAGAAAGAGGAAGAGGAUAUGAGAGAUGCGUUCAAUGUGUUUGAUCAAGACGGUGAUGGGUUUAUUAGUGUUGAAGAAUUAAAGUCUGUGAUGGCUUCCUUGGGACUCAAGCAAGGUAAAACUCUAAAGUGUUGUAAAGAGAUGAUUACUCAAGUUGAUGAAGAUGGUGAUGGUAGAGUCAAUUACAAGGAGUUUCUUCAGAUGAUGAAAUCUGGUGGAUUUAGCAAUAGAUCAUCAUAAGAUUAAAGCUGAUUUUAUCCUUUUUUACUCUGUAAAUAGUUUCAUUUAAUGUUUUUGUAUUAAUCUUGAACUGAAUUGUUAAAACAUUAAACAAUCUUUGUUUUUUUCUUACAACUAUGAACGGUGCAUGCCACGUGACUUCGCCAGCUUGGAACACUCAUGUGUUGUAUACACUCCCAAAUGUUUUAGAGUUUUACCUCAUGCAAAAUAGGAGUCAAAAUAGAACUAAAGAGGUAAAAAUAGAUUGAUUUGGAUAUCUUUUGAUACUUUUUGGAUAUUUUACUUUGCUGUUUUGAUAAUUUUUGGAUAUUUUAUGUAUUUUAAAUAUUUUAUAGAUAUUAGAUCUAAGAUAACUAAAUAUUCAAGUAUAUAGUAAUGAAUAAAUUCAGUACUUGAAAUAUUUUGAUUCAGAUCGGAUUUACUUCUAAAUAUUAAAAUUUUGGAUAUAUUUGGAUAUUUAAUCAAUUUCGACUGAUAUUAUUUUUCGGAUUGGAUUCGGUUCUUAAUAAGAUAUAUAUAUAUAUAUAUAUAUAUAUAAAUUCAAAUCUUAAUAUUUUGCCAAUUUAGAGUUUUUAUCUCAUGAGAGUCAAAAUAGAAGCAAAGAUGUAAUGAAAGAUUGAUUAUUGGAAGAAGAUGGGUUUAUGGUCACGCAAAGUGGAUUAAAAAAUUCAGAUUUGAAUAUUUUGCCAACACUCCCAACUCCCAAGCUGGUUUGAAUCUCACUUUCAGAGUUAUCUUCUUUAACAGAUUGUUAAAGUUUCUCCAAUCUAUGUAGUAAUAAUAUAUAUAGCUUACUCUAUUCGACCAGCAGAAGGAUAUUACAGAGGAUUUUGAUAGCGCUUUAAAACCAUCUCCUGCUUAUAUACAUUUACACCAAACUCAAUGUUGGAACAUAAGAAAAACAAAACAAAACUUUCUUGAAGACAGUUGCAUGCUCUUUUGUUUUUGACAAGAAAAAUGUUUAUUAAGAGAAUCUCAGAGAAUGGGGGAAUAAAGAAGAGACGAUCUAUCUCCUAAAUCAAACCUGAGACAAAUAAAAAAAAAGACUAUACUUGGUUCUGUUGAUGAUCUCUCUGUUCCAGAUCCCUCACAUUGUCUACUAUGUGCUGGAUUCUCUUAGUAAGACUUUCAUUGUGCUGCUCAAUCUGUUCAAAGAGCAUCUCCAGAUGCCUCUUGUAAGUAGCAGCUCUCUUUUUCUCUGCAGCUAGCUGCUGCAUAAGCUCCUGGAUUUUAUCAUGCUCGUUCUGCAAAUGAGAAACAAACAACAUCAGAAUCAAACCAGCACACAUAAACAUACCAAAUAACAACUGAUAAGAGCAACAACUAACCGGAUACUGAUCAUAGAUGCAACCCCUUCGAACCCUUCCAGGCAUCAAAGGAUGGUUAUGCUCCUUGGCAAACUUUGUGAUAACCCAUUUACCAGAAUUUUCUUUUCUAAUCAAGAUCAUUGCUCUACACCCAACCCUUGUCUCCGCUCUCUGUCUAAUAACUUUGUCACGCUUGCUAGGCAACCUGUACCCUUCCUUGUUGCAAACAAGCUGCCUUCCUAUGGGAGAUCCAUCAUGUCUCGACCGUGAGAGUUUGCUAACACGGAUGACGAACCCUACUUUUGUAGCGUAAGCGUUAUAAAACCCAUGUGCUGCUGCUUCAGACUCGAACUCCUGCCCAACAUAAGGCUCAUCACCACCUUGAACCUCCUCCUCGGCCAUAUCAGAAACUGCCAGAGGGAUAGAAUCCAGAUCCACCUUCUCGUCUUGCUCAAGAGGCGUUGCUUGAUUGGAACUUUCACCUAUCUCGUUAUGGUUUUCAUCAUCGUCUUGCUCAAUCAUUGCUUGACCAGAGCUUUCACCCAUUUCAUUAUGGUUCUCGACUGAAAUCGUCAUCAUCAUCCCAUCAGCAUCACCAUUAUCAAUCCUGAAAUCCACUGCAAAUGAAAAACCAUUUGCACAAAGAGAAGCAAUCAACCGGAGGGCAAAAACACGUUUUAACACACAUUAGAUAUCAACAAAAGAACAAGUACAAGUUUUUAUCCUCUUACAAGAAGAAACCUUUAAGACAAAUCUUAACUACAAGUGGUUUUAAAACACGUUUUGACAUGCAUCAGAUAUCUACCAAAGAACAAAGUACAAGUUUUUAUCCUCUUACAAGAAACCUUUAAGACAAAACUUAACUACAAAUGGUUUCAAAACACACAAUUUUGUCAUACAUCAGAUAUCUAUCAAAAAACAAGUACAAGUCUUUAUCUUUUCUUACAAAACAGCCUUCAAGACAAAAGCUUAACUACAAGUGGUUUCAAAACUCUACAGACUCCACGACAAUACAAAAACAAAGUUCCCUUUCUUUAAGGGUAGGCCUAAGCAUGUUUUGAGAUGAAUCUAUUCAAAGAUUCAAGCUUUUAGCAAUGGAGAGUUCAUUAAAUCAUCAGAAAGUAUCGAGCUUUGAGGAACUAAAUAACGGUGAAGGAACAAAUCAAUCUUACUGUCAGAGUUUUUUUCCGGGAGGAUUCGCCGCCGGCGGAAUUAGGUUUUUCGAUGGGGGGAGAGACAGAGAAGGUGCCGGUUCAGGGUAUGGAUUACAAGGGACGCAGUAAACCUAUGACGUGGCGAGAGAUGAUUGGAUCGAUAUUGGGAAGAAGUCAACUCACCGUUCAUCUAAGCCAUGGGGUGGAUCGACUCUAUGGUUUGUACUGUGCGCUUCUCCUCCUCUGAUAACUCCUCGUUAUGCGUUUAGUUUAUUUUUUUUGCCUUUUAAAGAUUUUUACAGCGUAAUUCUCGCCGACCGGCCCACCGGUUCGACCGGUGUGUCCACUAAUUUUGAUACUUUUAGAAAUCGAUCCCUUUAUUAUCCUUAUUCUAUAGAAUCACCCCUGUAUGUAUUAACAUAUCCUUUUAAUUCCUUGCCUUUAAUUUACGUGAUUAAGCUAACUGCAAACAUGAUUAGUGAGCCUGUUCUUGAACUCCACACCCUAACAGAGCUAAUUGAUUAGUAAGGAAAAUGAAAAAUUAAUUAGUUAACAGUUGCAAAAUAUUCAUAUUGUAAAUUUUACCACGAUCGAAACGGUAACUGUAUAAAAUGCAAUUGUAUCUUAAAAAUUAAUAGUACUAUAUUUAACCCCCCUCGAGUGUCCAAUACAAAUUGAUUAAAUACUUAUGUUUCUUUUGGGUCGUAUCCGUUAUUAGCAUUUACCAAAGAUUUAAUUUCCUUUAACGUCUAAGCAUUGAAGGAAAAUCCGUUGAUUACUGGGGAAUAGGCAAUCAAAUAGUUUUAACAGAUCUCACAUAAAUAAAAAAGGAUAAGGAUCAUAUAAGUCAAACCUAAUCCAGUUUCUAAAACUAAUAAAAAUCACACAUUAAUAUUUUAGUAUAAUUAUACAUGAGAUAAUAUCCACUAAAUGUGUAUUAUCGAUAAUGAAAGUUAGUAACAAAUGAAAUAAUCCUUUUAGCAAAAACAAAAAAAAAACAAAUGAAAUAAUCGGAAACAAAAGAGGAUUAUAUGUGUUUAUCCAACAAUCCUUAGGUAAACCUUGCAAAAGAUGUAAAAAGCAAAAAAAUCCGGUCAAAGGACCAAUCAGGCAAUCACUGUUCUCAUAAGAUCUUAUACAUAAUUAGUGAUGAACCAAUCGAAUAUUUCGAAUUUAAUUAGUUACCAAAUACAUUUUCCGAUAUAUCCGAUAAUGACGAUUUAAAAUGUGGAUAAAUCUAAUAGAUUUUAAUUAAAACGUCUAGUGGAUUUGACUAAACAAAGUGAUCCUUAACACUUCUAUAUAAACACUCCUUCGUUCCUUAAUACACCAUCUCAUAUCCAAAACCUAAUCUCUCCCUCGGUUCUGUAAUUCUCUAACACACUCAUCCCACAAAUGGCUACUUCCACCGGCGAGAAUAGCUUGAUCGUUUCCUUCGGCGAGAUGCUCAUCGACUUCGUUCCCACCGUCUCCGGCGUAUCCCUCGCUGAAGCUCCUGGCUUCAUCAAGGCCCCCGGUGGCGCACCUGCCAACGUCGCCAUCGCCGUUUCCCGUCUCGGUGGCCGAGCUGCUUUUGUCGGAAAGCUAGGUGACGACGAGUUUGGCCACAUGCUCGCCUAGGCAACCUGUACCCUUCCUUGUUGCAAACAAGCUGCCUUCCUAUGGGAGAUCCAUCAUGUCUCGACCGUGAGAGUUUGCUAACACGGAUGACGAACCCUACUUUUGUAGCGUAAGCGUUAUAAAACCCAUGUGCUGCUGCUUCAGACUCGAACUCCUGCCCAACAUAAGGCUCAUCACCACCUUGAACCUCCUCCUCGGCCAUAUCAGAAACUGCCAGAGGGAUAGAAUCCAGAUCCACCUUCUCGUCUUGCUCAAGAGGCGUUGCUUGAUUGGAACUUUCACCUAUCUCGUUAUGGUUUUCAUCAUCGUCUUGCUCAAUCAUUGCUUGACCAGAGCUUUCACCCAUUUCAUUAUGGUUCUCGACUGAAAUCGUCAUCAUCAUCCCAUCAGCAUCACCAUUAUCAAUCCUGAAAUCCACUGCAAAUGAAAAACCAUUUGCACAAAGAGAAGCAAUCAACCGGAGGGCAAAAACACGUUUUAACACACAUUAGAUAUCAACAAAAGAACAAGUACAAGUUUUUAUCCUCUUACAAGAAGAAACCUUUAAGACAAAUCUUAACUACAAGUGGUUUUAAAACACGUUUUGACAUGCAUCAGAUAUCUACCAAAGAACAAAGUACAAGUUUUUAUCCUCUUACAAGAAACCUUUAAGACAAAACUUAACUACAAAUGGUUUCAAAACACACAAUUUUGUCAUACAUCAGAUAUCUAUCAAAAAACAAGUACAAGUCUUUAUCUUUUCUUACAAAACAGCCUUCAAGACAAAAGCUUAACUACAAGUGGUUUCAAAACUCUACAGACUCCACGACAAUACAAAAACAAAGUUCCCUUUCUUUAAGGGUAGGCCUAAGCAUGUUUUGAGAUGAAUCUAUUCAAAGAUUCAAGCUUUUAGCAAUGGAGAGUUCAUUAAAUCAUCAGAAAGUAUCGAGCUUUGAGGAACUAAAUAACGGUGAAGGAACAAAUCAAUCUUACUGUCAGAGUUUUUUUCCGGGAGGAUUCGCCGCCGGCGGAAUUAGGUUUUUCGAUUGGGGGGAGAGACAGAGAAGGUGCCGGUUCAGGGUAUAGAUCACAAGGGACGCAGUAAACCUAUGACGUGGCGAGAGAUGAUUGGAUCGAUAUUGGGAAGAAGUCAACUCACCGUUCAUCUAAGCCAUGGGGUGGAUCGACUCUAUGGUUUGUACUGUGCGCUUCUCCUCCUCUGAUAACUCCUCGUUAUGCGUUUAGUUUAUUUUUUUUGCCUUUUAAAGAUUUUUACAGCGUAAUUCUCGCCGACCGGCCCACCGGUUCGACCGGUGUGUCCACUAAUUUUGAUACUUUUAGAAAUCGAUCCCUUUAUUAUCCUUAUUCUAUAGAAUCACCCCUGUAUGUAUUAACAUAUCCUUUUAAUUCCUUGCCUUUAAUUUACGUGAUUAAGCUAACUGCAAACAUGAUUAGUGAGCCUGUUCUUGAACUCCACACCCUAACAGAGCUAAUUGAUUAGUAAGGAAAAUGAAAAAUUAAUUAGUUAACAGUUGCAAAAUAUUCAUAUUGUAAAUUUUACCACGAUCGAAACGGUAACUGUAUAAAAUGCAAUUGUAUCUUAAAAAUUAAUAGUACUAUAUUUAACCCCCCUCGAGUGUCCAAUACAAAUUGAUUAAAUACUUAUGUUUCUUUUGGGUCGUAUCCGUUAUUAGCAUUUACCAAAGAUUUAAUUUCCUUUAACGUCUAAGCAUUGAAGGAAAAUCCGUUGAUUACUGGGGAAUAGGCAAUCAAAUAGUUUUAACAGAUCUCACAUAAAUAAAAAAGGAUAAGGAUCAUAUAAGUCAAACCUAAUCCAGUUUCUAAAACUAAUAAAAAUCACACAUUAAUAUUUUAGUAUAAUUAUACAUGAGAUAAUAUCCACUAAAUGUGUAUUAUCGAUAAUGAAAGUUAGUAACAAAUGAAAUAAUCCUUUUAGCAAAAACAAAAAAAAAACAAAUGAAAUAAUCGGAAACAAAAGAGGAUUAUAUGUGUUUAUCCAACAAUCCUUAGGUAAACCUUGCAAAAGAUGUAAAAAGCAAAAAAAUCCGGUCAAAGGACCAAUCAGGCAAUCACUGUUCUCAUAAGAUCUUAUACAUAAUUAGUGAUGAACCAAUCGAAUAUUUCGAAUUUAAUUAGUUACCAAAUACAUUUUCCGAUAUAUCCGAUAAUGACGAUUUAAAAUGUGGAUAAAUCUAAUAGAUUUUAAUUAAAACGUCUAGUGGAUUUGACUAAACAAAGUGAUCCUUAACACUUCUAUAUAAACACUCCUUCGUUCCUUAAUACACCAUCUCAUAUCCAAAACCUAAUCUCUCCCUCGGUUCUGUAAUUCUCUAACACACUCAUCCCACAAAUGGCUACUUCCACCGGCGAGAAUAGCUUGAUCGUUUCCUUCGGCGAGAUGCUCAUCGACUUCGUUCCCACCGUCUCCGGCGUAUCCCUCGCUGAAGCUCCUGGCUUCAUCAAGGCCCCCGGUGGCGCACCUGCCAACGUCGCCAUCGCCGUUUCCCGUCUCGGUGGCCGAGCUGCUUUUGUCGGAAAGCUAGGUGACGACGAGUUUGGCCACAUGCUCGCCGGAAUCUUGAAACAAAACGGCGUCUCUGCCGAAGGUAUCAACUUCGAUACUGGAGCUAGGACGGCACUCGCGUUCGUGACGUUAAGAUCCGAUGGUGAACGUGAGUUCAUGUUUUACCGGAACCCUAGCGCCGACAUGCUACUCCGUCCUGAUGAACUCAAUCUCGAUCUCAUCAAAUCUGUACGUUAUUUUUACAUUUACUUAACUUGAAGAGAAAGAGGAAGAGGAUAUGAGAGAUGCGUUCAAUGUGUUUGAUCAAGACGGUGAUGGGUUUAUUAGUGUUGAAGAAUUAAAGUCUGUGAUGGCUUCCUUGGGACUCAAGCAAGGUAAAACUCUAAAGUGUUGUAAAGAGAUGAUUACUCAAGUGGACGAAGAUGGUGAUGGUAGAGUUAAUUACAAGGAGUUUCUUCAGAUGAUGAAAUCUGGUGGAUUUAGCAAUAGCUCAUCCUCAGAUUAAAGCUGAUUUGAUCCUUUUCUUACUCUGUAAAUAGUUUCAUUUUAUGUUUUUGUAUUAAUCUUGAACUGAAUUGUUAAAAAAUUAAGCAAUCUUGGUUUUUUUUCUUACAACUAUGAAUGGUGCAUGCUACGUGACUUCGCCAGCUUGGAACACUCAUGUGUUGUAUACACUCCCAAGUGUUUUAGAGUUUUUAUCUCAUGCAAAAUAUGAGUCAAGAUAGAAUUAAAGAGGUAACAAUAGAUUGAUUUGGAUAUCUUUUGAUACUUUUUGGAUAUCUUUUGAUACUUUUUGGAUAUCUUUUGAUACUUUUUGGAUAUCUUUUGAUACUUUUUGGAUAUCUUUUGAUACUUUUUGGAUAUUUUACUUGUUGCUGUUUGACAAAUUUUUGGAUAUUUUAUGUAUUUUAAAUAUUUUAUAGAUAUUAGAUCUAGAAUAACUAAAUAUUCAAGUAUAUAAUAGUGAUUCAGAUAUCUUUGAGUAUUUGAAAUAUUUUGGAGGUUUGAUUCCAGAUAUUAAAGAAGAGAAUAUCUAUCUCCUAAUCAAACUGAUGAAAAAAAGACUAUACUUGGUUCUGUUGAUGAUCUCUCUGUUCCAGAUCCCUCACAUUGUCUACUAUGUGUUGGAUUCUCUUAGUAAGGCUUUCAUUGUGCUGCUCAAUCUGUUCAAAGAGCAUCUCCAGAUGCCUCUUGUAAGUCGCAGCUCUCUUUUUCUCUGCAGCUAGCUGCUGCAUCAGCUCCUGGAUUUUAUCAUGCUCGUUCUGCAAAUGAGAAACAAACAACAUCAGAAUCAAACCAGCACACAUAAACAUACCAAAUAACAACCGAUAAGAGCAACAACUAACCGGAUACUGAUCAUAGAUGCAACCCCUUCGAACCCUUCCAGGCAUCAAAGGAUGGUUAUGCUCCUUGGCAAACUUUGUGAUAACCCAUUUACCAGAAUUUUCUUUCCUAAUCAAGAUCAUUGCUCUACACCCAACCCUUGUCUCCGCUCUCUGUCUAAUAACCUUGUCACGCUUGCUAGGCAACCUGUAACCUUCCUUGUUGCAAACAAGCUGCCUUCCUAUGGGAGAUCCAUCAUGCCUUGACCGUGACAGCUUGCUAACACGGAUGACGAACCCUACUUUUGUAGCGUAAGCAUUAUAAAACCCGUGUGCUGCUGCUUCUGAUUCGAACUCCUGCCCAACGUAAGGCUCAUCACCACCUUGAACCUCCUCCUCGGCCAUAUCAGAAACAGUUAGAGGGAUAGAGUCCGGAUCCACCUUCUCGUCUUGCUCAAGAGGCAUUUCUUGGUUAGAAUUUUCACCUAUCUCGUUACGGUUUUCAUCAUCGUCUUGCUCAAUCAUUGCUUGACCAGAGCUUUCACCCAUUUCAUUAUGGUUCUCGACUGAAAUCGUCAUCAUCAUCCCAUCAGCAUCACCAUUAUCAAUCCUGAAAUCCACUGCAAAUGAAAAACCAUUUGCACAAAGAGAAGCAAUCAACCGGAGGGCAAAAACACGUUUUAACACACAUUAGAUAUCAACAAAAGAACAAGUACAAGUUUUUAUCCUCUUACAAGAAGAAACCUUUAAGACAAAUCUUAACUACAAGUGGUUUUAAAACACGUUUUGACAUGCAUCAGAUAUCUACCAAAGAACAAAGUACAAGUUUUUAUCCUCUUACAAGAAACCUUUAAGACAAAACUUAACUACAAAUGGUUUCAAAACACACAAUUUUGUCAUACAUCAGAUAUCUAUCAAAAAACAAGUACAAGUCUUUAUCUUUUCUUACAAAACAGCCUUCAAGACAAAAGCUUAACUACAAGUGGUUUCAAAACUCUACAGACUCCACGACAAUACAAAAACAAAGUUCCCUUUCUUUAAGGGUAGGCCUAAGCAUGUUUUGAGAUGAAUCUAUUCAAAGAUUCAAGCUUUUAGCAAUGGAGAGUUCAUUAAAUCAUCAGAAAGUAUCGAGCUUUGAGGAACUAAAUAACGGUGAAGGAACAAAUCAAUCUUACUGUCAGAGUUUUUUUCCGGGAGGAUUCGCCGCCGGCGGAAUUAGGUUUUUCGAUGGGGGGAGAGACAGAGAAGGUGCCGGUUCAGGGUAUGGAUUACAAGGGACGCAGUAAACCUAUGACGUGGCGAGAGAUGAUUGGAUCGAUAUUGGGAAGAAGUCAACUCACCGUUCAUCUAAGCCAUGGGGUGGAUCGACUCUAUGGUUUGUACUGUGCGCUUCUCCUCCUCUGAUAACUCCUCGUUAUGCGUUUAGUUUAUUUUUUUUGCCUUUUAAAGAUUUUUACAGCGUAAUUCUCGCCGACCGGCCCACCGGUUCGACCGGUGUGUCCACUAAUUUUGAUACUUUUAGAAAUCGAUCCCUUUAUUAUCCUUAUUCUAUAGAAUCACCCCUGUAUGUAUUAACAUAUCCUUUUAAUUCCUUGCCUUUAAUUUACGUGAUUAAGCUAACUGCAAACAUGAUUAGUGAGCCUGUUCUUGAACUCCACACCCUAACAGAGCUAAUUGAUUAGUAAGGAAAAUGAAAAAUUAAUUAGUUAACAGUUGCAAAAUAUUCAUAUUGUAAAUUUUACCACGAUCGAAACGGUAACUGUAUAAAAUGCAAUUGUAUCUUAAAAAUUAAUAGUACUAUAUUUAACCCCCCUCGAGUGUCCAAUACAAAUUGAUUAAAUACUUAUGUUUCUUUUGGGUCGUAUCCGUUAUUAGCAUUUACCAAAGAUUUAAUUUCCUUUAACGUCUAAGCAUUGAAGGAAAAUCCGUUGAUUACUGGGGAAUAGGCAAUCAAAUAGUUUUAACAGAUCUCACAUAAAUAAAAAAGGAUAAGGAUCAUAUAAGUCAAACCUAAUCCAGUUUCUAAAACUAAUAAAAAUCACACAUUAAUAUUUUAGUAUAAUUAUACAUGAGAUAAUAUCCACUAAAUGUGUAUUAUCGAUAAUGAAAGUUAGUAACAAAUGAAAUAAUCCUUUUAGCAAAAACAAAAAAAAAACAAAUGAAAUAAUCGGAAACAAAAGAGGAUUAUAUGUGUUUAUCCAACAAUCCUUAGGUAAACCUUGCAAAAGAUGUAAAAAGCAAAAAAAUCCGGUCAAAGGACCAAUCAGGCAAUCACUGUUCUCAUAAGAUCUUAUACAUAAUUAGUGAUGAACCAAUCGAAUAUUUCGAAUUUAAUUAGUUACCAAAUACAUUUUCCGAUAUAUCCGAUAAUGACGAUUUAAAAUGUGGAUAAAUCUAAUAGAUUUUAAUUAAAACGUCUAGUGGAUUUGACUAAACAAAGUGAUCCUUAACACUUCUAUAUAAACACUCCUUCGUUCCUUAAUACACCAUCUCAUAUCCAAAACCUAAUCUCUCCCUCGGUUCUGUAAUUCUCUAACACACUCAUCCCACAAAUGGCUACUUCCACCGGCGAGAAUAGCUUGAUCGUUUCCUUCGGCGAGAUGCUCAUCGACUUCGUUCCCACCGUCUCCGGCGUAUCCCUCGCUGAAGCUCCUGGCUUCAUCAAGGCCCCCGGUGGCGCACCUGCCAACGUCGCCAUCGCCGUUUCCCGUCUCGGUGGCCGAGCUGCUUUUGUCGGAAAGCUAGGUGACGAAGAUAUAUAUAUAUAUAUAUAUAUAUAUAAAUUCAAAUCUUAAUAUUUUGCCAAUUUAGAGUUUUUAUCUCAUGAGAGUCAAAAUAGAAGCAAAGAUGUAAUGAAAGAUUGAUUAUUGGAAGAAGAUGGGUUUAUGGUCACGCAAAGUGGAUUAAAAAAUUCAGAUUUGAAUAUUUUGCCAACACUCCCAACUCCCAAGCUGGUUUGAAUCUCACUUUCAGAGUUAUCUUCUUUAACAGAUUGUUAAAGUUUCUCCAAUCUAUGUAGUAAUAAUAUAUAUAGCUUACUCUAUUCGACCAGCAGAAGGAUAUUACAGAGGAUUUUGAUAGCGCUUUAAAACCAUCUCCUGCUUAUAUACAUUUACACCAAACUCAAUGUUGGAACAUAAGAAAAACAAAACAAAACUUUCUUGAAGACAGUUGCAUGCUCUUUUGUUUUUGACAAGAAAAAUGUUUAUUAAGAGAAUCUCAGAGAAUGGGGGAAUAAAGAAGAGACGAUCUAUCUCCUAAAUCAAACCUGAGACAAAUAAAAAAAAAGACUAUACUUGGUUCUGUUGAUGAUCUCUCUGUUCCAGAUCCCUCACAUUGUCUACUAUGUGCUGGAUUCUCUUAGUAAGACUUUCAUUGUGCUGCUCAAUCUGUUCAAAGAGCAUCUCCAGAUGCCUCUUGUAAGUAGCAGCUCUCUUUUUCUCUGCAGCUAGCUGCUGCAUAAGCUCCUGGAUUUUAUCAUGCUCGUUCUGCAAAUGAGAAACAAACAACAUCAGAAUCAAACCAGCACACAUAAACAUACCAAAUAACAACUGAUAAGAGCAACAACUAACCGGAUACUGAUCAUAGAUGCAACCCCUUCGAACCCUUCCAGGCAUCAAAGGAUGGUUAUGCUCCUUGGCAAACUUUGUGAUAACCCAUUUACCAGAAUUUUCUUUUCUAAUCAAGAUCAUUGCUCUACACCCAACCCUUGUCUCCGCUCUCUGUCUAAUAACUUUGUCACGCUUGCUAGGCAACCUGUACCCUUCCUUGUUGCAAACAAGCUGCCUUCCUAUGGGAGAUCCAUCAUGUCUCGACCGUGAGAGUUUGCUAACACGGAUGACGAACCCUACUUUUGUAGCGUAAGCGUUAUAAAACCCAUGUGCUGCUGCUUCAGACUCGAACUCCUGCCCAACAUAAGGCUCAUCACCACCUUGAACCUCCUCCUCGGCCAUAUCAGAAACUGCCAGAGGGAUAGAAUCCAGAUCCACCUUCUCGUCUUGCUCAAGAGGCGUUGCUUGAUUGGAACUUUCACCUAUCUCGUUAUGGUUUUCAUCAUCGUCUUGCUCAAUCAUUGCUUGACCAGAGCUUUCACCCAUUUCAUUAUGGUUCUCGACUGAAAUCGUCAUCAUCAUCCCAUCAGCAUCACCAUUAUCAAUCCUGAAAUCCACUGCAAAUGAAAAACCAUUUGCACAAAGAGAAGCAAUCAACCGGAGGGCAAAAACACGUUUUAACACACAUUAGAUAUCAACAAAAGAACAAGUACAAGUUUUUAUCCUCUUACAAGAAGAAACCUUUAAGACAAAUCUUAACUACAAGUGGUUUUAAAACACGUUUUGACAUGCAUCAGAUAUCUACCAAAGAACAAAGUACAAGUUUUUAUCCUCUUACAAGAAACCUUUAAGACAAAACUUAACUACAAAUGGUUUCAAAACACACAAUUUUGUCAUACAUCAGAUAUCUAUCAAAAAACAAGUACAAGUCUUUAUCUUUUCUUACAAAACAGCCUUCAAGACAAAAGCUUAACUACAAGUGGUUUCAAAACUCUACAGACUCCACGACAAUACAAAAACAAAGUUCCCUUUCUUUAAGGGUAGGCCUAAGCAUGUUUUGAGAUGAAUCUAUUCAAAGAUUCAAGCUUUUAGCAAUGGAGAGUUCAUUAAAUCAUCAGAAAGUAUCGAGCUUUGAGGAACUAAAUAACGGUGAAGGAACAAAUCAAUCUUACUGUCAGAGUUUUUUUCCGGGAGGAUUCGCCGCCGGCGGAAUUAGGUUUUUCGAUGGGGGGAGAGACAGAGAAGGUGCCGGUUCAGGGUAUGGAUUACAAGGGACGCAGUAAACCUAUGACGUGGCGAGAGAUGAUUGGAUCGAUAUUGGGAAGAAGUCAACUCACCGUUCAUCUAAGCCAUGGGGUGGAUCGACUCUAUGGUUUGUACUGUGCGCUUCUCCUCCUCUGAUAACUCCUCGUUAUGCGUUUAGUUUAUUUUUUUUGCCUUUUAAAGAUUUUUACAGCGUAAUUCUCGCCGACCGGCCCACCGGUUCGACCGGUGUGUCCACUAAUUUUGAUACUUUUAGAAAUCGAUCCCUUUAUUAUCCUUAUUCUAUAGAAUCACCCCUGUAUGUAUUAACAUAUCCUUUUAAUUCCUUGCCUUUAAUUUACGUGAUUAAGCUAACUGCAAACAUGAUUAGUGAGCCUGUUCUUGAACUCCACACCCUAACAGAGCUAAUUGAUUAGUAAGGAAAAUGAAAAAUUAAUUAGUUAACAGUUGCAAAAUAUUCAUAUUGUAAAUUUUACCACGAUCGAAACGGUAACUGUAUAAAAUGCAAUUGUAUCUUAAAAAUUAAUAGUACUAUAUUUAACCCCCCUCGAGUGUCCAAUACAAAUUGAUUAAAUACUUAUGUUUCUUUUGGGUCGUAUCCGUUAUUAGCAUUUACCAAAGAUUUAAUUUCCUUUAACGUCUAAGCAUUGAAGGAAAAUCCGUUGAUUACUGGGGAAUAGGCAAUCAAAUAGUUUUAACAGAUCUCACAUAAAUAAAAAAGGAUAAGGAUCAUAUAAGUCAAACCUAAUCCAGUUUCUAAAACUAAUAAAAAUCACACAUUAAUAUUUUAGUAUAAUUAUACAUGAGAUAAUAUCCACUAAAUGUGUAUUAUCGAUAAUGAAAGUUAGUAACAAAUGAAAUAAUCCUUUUAGCAAAAACAAAAAAAAAACAAAUGAAAUAAUCGGAAACAAAAGAGGAUUAUAUGUGUUUAUCCAACAAUCCUUAGGUAAACCUUGCAAAAGAUGUAAAAAGCAAAAAAAUCCGGUCAAAGGACCAAUCAGGCAAUCACUGUUCUCAUAAGAUCUUAUACAUAAUUAGUGAUGAACCAAUCGAAUAUUUCGAAUUUAAUUAGUUACCAAAUACAUUUUCCGAUAUAUCCGAUAAUGACGAUUUAAAAUGUGGAUAAAUCUAAUAGAUUUUAAUUAAAACGUCUAGUGGAUUUGACUAAACAAAGUGAUCCUUAACACUUCUAUAUAAACACUCCUUCGUUCCUUAAUACACCAUCUCAUAUCCAAAACCUAAUCUCUCCCUCGGUUCUGUAAUUCUCUAACACACUCAUCCCACAAAUGGCUACUUCCACCGGCGAGAAUAGCUUGAUCGUUUCCUUCGGCGAGAUGCUCAUCGACUUCGUUCCCACCGUCUCCGGCGUAUCCCUCGCUGAACAAAUGGCUACUUCCAACGGCGAGAAAAGCUUGAUCGUUUCCUUCGGCGAGAUGCUCAUCGACUUCGUCCCCACCGUCUCCGGCGUUUCCCUCGCCGAGGCUCCUGGCUUCAUUAAGGCCCCCGGUGGCGCACCUGCCAACGUCGCCAUCGCCGUUUCCCGUCUCGGCGGUCGCGCUGCUUUUGUCGGAAAGCUAGGUGACGACGAGUUUGGCCACAUGCUCGCCGGAAUCUUGAAACAAAACGGCGUCUCUGCCGAAGGUAUCAACUUCGAUACUGGAGCUAGGACGGCGCUUGCGUUCGUGACGUUAAGAUCCGAUGGUGAACGUGAGUUCAUGUUUUACCGGAACCCUAGCGCCGACAUGCUCCUCCGUCCUGAUGAACUCAAUCUCGAUCUCAUCAAAUCUGUGCGUUACUUUUACAUUUUACUUAACUUUUUGUAUGUAACGGUUGUUGACACACCUAACGUGGAGUUCAAGUUAGGUUACGAAAUGCUCUGUUUUGUUUUAUUGACCUACCUAACGUAAAGGUCAAGUUAGUUUACAAAGUACCCUUUUUUGUAAGUGCUCUGUUUUGUUUUAUUAACAUACAUAACGUCAAGGUCAAGUUUAGGUUGAGAAGUGAUUUGUUUUGUUUUGUUUUGUUACAGGCUAAGGUGUUCCACUAUGGAUCGAUAAGCCUCAUUGUUGAGCCAUGUAGAUCUGCGCACCUGAAAGCCAUGGAGGUGGCUAAAGAAGCUGGUGCGUUGCUCUCGUACGACCCAAACCUGAGGCUGCCAUUGUGGCCCUCGAAGGAGGAGGCUAAGAAACAGAUCCUUAGCAUCUGGGACAAAGCUGAAGUGAUCAAAGUCAGCGACGAAGAGCUUAUGUUCUUGACUGGGUCUGAUAAUGUUGAUGAUGAGACUGCUUUGUCUCUGUGGCAUGAUAACUUGAAACUUCUCUUGGUCACUUUGGGUGAAAAGGGUUGUAACUAUUACACCAAGGUAAUUUUUUUUAUUUUUUUUGGAGUUUUGACUUUACUAUUAAACGUUACUUAAGUUGUUUUCUUUGUGCUUGUGUGAUUAUAGAGUUUCCGUGGAUCUGUUGAUCCUUUCCAUGUGAACGCAGUGGAUACAACUGGUGCCGGUGAUUCAUAUGUUGGUGCCUUGCUUUGCAACUUUGUUGAUGACCGCUCUGUUCUCGAGGUAAACAUAACAUCAGAUUAGUCUUUGGCUAAUUUGGUAUCGUUGCUUCGAUUGUUGACUCUGUUCUUGUGUCUUUAACUACAGGACGAAGCUCGACUUAGAGAAGUGCUUAGGUUUGCGAAUGCAUGUGGAGCCAUUACAACUACCAAGAAAGGAGCUAUUCCAGCUCUUCCUACAGAGUCUGAGGUUCAGAGUCUCCUCAAUGGAAACUGAUCUAGGAGUCUAGGACAUGUCUGGUCUUACGAUUUCACGUUUUUUUUAUUUCCUUUUGUUUUCGUUCAGUGUUCAGAGAACAGUUUGAUUCAUAAAUUAAAACUCUCAAGUUUAGUGAACGAUUAUUUAUUAAGAUCGAGUUUUUAUUUUAAUGAAAAAUAACAAAACAUUCAUGAUGCUAAACACAACAGCUUUCAUUGAACAGAGAUUUAGAAAAAAGAACACCAACGAGCUAACAAGUUCUGGUCCUGCGAAAAAGCUUCAUGAACCACUCAUUCUUGUAAUAAGCCACUAUGUAUCCGAUUGUGAUUCCAAAUACAACUCCAGGUGCAAAUCCUAUCCCUGCUGCCAUCCAACUCAACGAUUCUCCUUCUUCUUCUUCCUCUUCUUGUAAUGACUCCGGCUGUUCAGAUUGUUGUGACGUUGGCUCAACAUGACUUCCACAAACGUCCUUAAGAGAAGAAACAAGAAGUCCAGGAUUCCCCUCGUAGGAUGAGCAAUUCUGUCUCUGAAACUGUGUGCCUUGUGGUAUAGACCCUACAAGCUUAUUAUGUGAAACAUUAAUCCACUCAAGUGAAUAGAGGUUCCCAAGCUCUGGAGGAAUCUCACCAGAGAGCUUGUUUUGGGAUAGGUCCAGUGAUUCCAACACCGUAAGUUUGGCCAAAGAUGAUGGGAUGUGGCCUGUAAAAGCAUUGCUGGACAUAUUCAGGAUACGAAGUUCCUUUAGUAGACCAAUAGAUUCAGGAAUUUGUCCAUGGAGUUGGUUUCCUGAAAAAUCGAUGGCUGUGUAGACUUUGAGGAUACGUUCCAUCUCCAUUGAUACACCUUUAGCCAUCAACACAAUUGAAGCGUAGUAUUGGUGGGGAAGAAAAGCCCCAAUGUAGUCUGGCUCUGUAGAGUUGUUGCCUGUCUUGGAGGAUAUCCCAGUCCAGUUCAGGAAGUAGUCAGACGGUAAGGUGCUGAGGAAGUCAUUAUGUGAUACAUCGAUGAUCUUCAACUGAGGAAAUCCAGACCAAACACCGUCAGAGUGAUGUAACUUGCCAUGAAACUUAUUGGAGCGGAGGACAAGAACUUGUAGCUUCUGCAAAGAACUCAACUGGAAUGGAAAGGUAUCCUUGAAUUUGUUGCUUUCCAAGUUUAGAACUUGCAGAGAAGAGCAAUUGAUGAGAGAUGCAGGAAGCUUUCCUUCCAAUAGGUUGUGACUGAUGUCAAGUGUCUGUAGCUUCUUCGCGUUGAUAAAUAUGUCAGGAAGAGUUCCGUUGAGGCUAUUGUUAUGAAGCUUUAGAUCACUAAGAGAAGUCAUGAGAGUCCCUAAGCACCAAGGAAUUGAGCCGCUGAAGUUGUUGUUUGACAGAUCUAGGAUGUAUAGAGAGGUUGAUCCACAUAUUGAAGAAGGUAACUCUCCGGUGAAGUUAUUCUUAGAAGCAAACAAAUAUUCGAUAGAACUUGAUGGGAUGAAUAGUGGCCCUUGGAAAGCAUUUGAACUUAGAUUCAAGGAUCCGUUGAAACCACUGAAAGAGUUCCUAGAAAGAUCCAGGUAGUCCAACUCUGGUAGCCUCCACAGCCAGUCUGGUACUUGACCUUUCAUUUUGUUGUUGGAAAGGGCUAGAUCAUGUAGAUGUGGAUUGUUUCUAAUGAACUCGGGGAACUCAGUGACUUUGCAUCUUGACAGGUACAAAAAUUCCAAAUUUGAUGAAAAAUCAGAAGUGAUGUUUGUUGUUGAAAGAGGGAUUCCCGAGAGAGAUAAUCCUGAUAGGUGUUUGAGAGGCGGAAAUAUAUUUAAGUCAACAGGGAUGACGUUGACCGAGUAAUUGUUACCGCCAAGAAACAAAUAUUCUAAAUUAGGCAACAAAGAAGAGAUAUUCUCAAUGCCAAGGAGGUCACUGAAAUGAUUUAUAUCCAAAUCGAUGUGAGCCAGUGAGGAAAUCUUGAAUAGGGAUGCAGGAAUGGUUCCAACAAAAGAGUUUCCGCGCACAGAAAAAAAAUGUAAUCUGGAGAGUUGGCUUAUAUUAGGUGGAAGGGAACCUGAAAAUUGGUUAUAAGAGAGAUCGAGAGUACGUAGCUGGGUCAAAUUGAGUAGUGCAGAUGGAAAGUUCCCGCUGAGUUUGUUACUAAAGACAUGAAAAGAUAUCAACUGUUUUAGAUUGCCAAUUGAAGAAGGAAUUUCACCAAUGAAAUUAUUGUAACCAAGUCGGAGAAAAGAGAGAUGAGAAAGGUUUCCAAGUGAAGAUGGAAUGGUACCUGAAAAGGAUGUCUGUGCAAUGCUUAUCCUUUGCAGAGACUUAUUUACAUGAAAAUCAGGAAGUUGACCUCUAAGUUUGGGAUUGUCAUUGAGGUUAAUGAGAUGUAAGCUGGGUAUGAGAAAAACAUUGCUCGGAAAUAUUCCCAGUAGGUUGCACUUCUCAAGAAUAAGCCAUCUCAGAGACGACAUGUUUGAAAACUCUUUUGGGAUUUCUGAAGAGAUGUUCACAUAGCUCAUAUCUAGUUCUCUAAGGUUCCUCAAGUUUAGAGCAAGAAGACGGAGAAAUGAUGGUUCCACAAUCGAUAAAUUACUUGGUGUAUAAUAAGAAGAAGAAGAAGAGAGAUCAAGAGACACCAAAUUGGUUAGUUGAACAAUUUCUGUUGGAAUCUGACCGGAAAAUGAAGACUCGGAGAGGUUAAGCCUCUCCAAGCCCAUGAGUUUGUUGAACUUAGCUGGGAUUGUGGAAUCAAGGAAGCUGUUAUAAGCAAGGUUAAGACUCCGGAGAUGCUGCAGUCUAAAAAGACUACUGUUUGGUUUGAGCCGGCCAUGAAGACAGCUGCAGCUAAGGUCUAGCCCGAUCACCUUGUCCGACUUGGUAUCGCACAUUACACCAUGCCAGUUGCAAUAGUCGCUCUUGUUUGCCCAUGAUUUCGUCUUCGGAUCAAGAAACUCACACGACUUUUGAAUCUUAAACUCGUUCUUGAACUCCAGAAGAAUAUCACUUUGGUCAGGAGAAGAAGCAAAAGUGCUCAAAAUUCUUGAAAUUGAAUAGAGAAGAACAAUGGUACGAAGAAAGAUGCUCAUCAUUGAUGAGUUUGAGCUUGUCAUGAUUUGUUUCUACUUUUGCCACCAGCUGAGUGGAUGUAUUUAAAAUGUUUCUCAAAAGCUCCGAGAAAAUAUUCAAUUCAAACUUUCAUUACUUUUGUUUCUUUCAGACCAACCGAACUUUUGAUUCACACUAGAAAGAACUAUUUAUAAUGCAUAGGUGUAAGGAAAAUAGGUGAAAACACAUUUUUAAGACAAAAAAAAGUUUAAAUAGUUUAACUUGAAGGAGUUAAAAUUAAAUUAAUUAUGUCUCGAAACCUAAGAAGUUUUAAAAUUAAAAUAAUAUACAUCUAAACUAUUAAAACAUGAGAAGAAAUAGUAUUUAGUCCUAAGUUUUUCUCAAUAAUUACAAUAGAAUGUCACUGUGAUCAAAACACAGUAGUUUUACGCUUUUGCUAACCCAAAAUUUUUGUAAACUACAGAAACGUUAACUCGUCUCGUUUGGUACACAAUCUUAUUAAUUAAAUUAUACCAGCAGGUACCAUAUACUAUUCGAAACCAAUACUCAAGAUUUAAUAGUUGAUCAACAAACAUACCUUAUAUUAUUCCAAUCCUGUACUCCAUUAAAUCUAUGGUUUAAAAUAGUUUUUUUUUCUAUAAGCUAACCCAUUAGAAACAAAACCAAACGAUUCAUCACGAUUUCUUAAUCAUAAUCUAAUCAAUAUUAAGUUUCUGGUUUUAUAUUUUGGCCAAUUUAUAUUCUGUCUAUAUUUGUUUAAAUUAUGCAUACCAACAUUUUGUAUAUAGGUCUAAUCAAGGUUUGGUUUAGCUAAUUUAUGGUUUUGUGAAUUUUUCGUUUUUUCUGACUACAAAAUCGAAACUAAAUAUGAUAUUUUCCUAAUAUAUAGCUUAGCUAAUUUAUAGUUUAACAAAUUUAUUAUUUGAGAAAAAGACUAGGAUAGCAUCAAACCAAGUUUUUGUUCCAAACUAGCACUCAAAGCUCAAAGUCACAAAUUUAAAUUUCAUUAAAGAGGUAAAUAUACAAUUAUACUCCUUAGGUUAAUUAAUUCAAACCUUAGGGUUUAGAGUUAAGACGUUUUGGAAUUAGAGUUUAAAAUUUUAUAAAAUAAAAAAUAAAUACUAAAAAUUUAAAAAUAAAAAUUUUAAAAACAGUUUCAAAAAGUAUUUUUGAAUUAUAAAAAGAAAUUUGAAAAUUUUUUUUUUUAAAAAAAGCGAAAAAAAAAUUUCAAAAAAACUUAUAAAAAAUUUCGUAUAUGAAAACAUAUAAUCUGAAACUAUAAAAAAAAUUAUUUUUUCAUUUUUUAUUUUUAUUUUAUUUAUUUUUAUUUAUUUUUGUUUGUUUAUUUAAUUUUAAACCAAAGGUAUUAGGGAUAUUUUACCCUUUAAUAAAUGUCAUUUUUGUGAUUUUCUCCUUCUAAUGCCAUUUUUGAGACAAAAACUCAAAAGGUGCUAUUAUUGAUAAUUGCCCUUAUUAUUUGGCAUAUUUUUGAUUGUUUUGUGUUCAAAAUCUAAACUAAAUAUGCUAUUUUCCUUACACAACUCACUACCAGUUAAAAAUGAUCCCUAAUUCCACACAAUCGCUAUUAACCGCAUUAGAUCAUAACUAAAUAUUUGUUUCUUCGGAAAUAAAACAAAAUCCCAACUGUUUUUCUAUUUUUACGUAAUCAUCAUAUCAUAAAAAGAUAUCUAUUAAAUAACAAGAUCAUCAUCUAUUCUAUUAAAACUGAAGUACAUAAUAAUACUUGACUAUUUUAAAGUGGAUUUUUUAAGAUUUGUUUUGUUUUUUUGACUAAUUAUAGUCAGUUCAUUUGUUGUUUUCAUUUAAGUGUUUUAUUAUAUUUUUUACAUUUUGAUUUCACUCUUUCAAACUACUUCAUUAAUUGCAAUUACCAUAAUAAUUCGAUGUCAUUUAUUUUACAUAUUAACCAUAAUAAUUUUACGUGUUUAAAUGAAUUUUUUCUAUUAGUAACAAAAAUUCUCUAAAGCUGACACGUAAGUAUUCUAAAGUUGCCAAUAGUCGCUCUUGUUUGCCCAUGAUUUCGUCUUCGGAUCAAGAAACUCACACGACUUUUGAAUCUUAAACUCGUUCUUGAACUCCAGAAGAAUAUCACUUUGGUCAGGAGAAGAAGCAAAAGUGCUCAAAAUUCUUGAAAUUGAAUAGAGAAGAACAAUGGUACGAAGAAAGAUGCUCAUCAUUGAUGAGUUUGAGCUUGUCAUGAUUUGUUUCUACUUUUGCUACCAGCUGAGUGGAUGUAUUUAAAAUGUUUCUCAAAAGCUCCGAGAAAAUAUUCAAUUCAAACUUUCAUUACUUUUGUUUCUUUCAGACCAACCGAACUUUUGAUUCACACUAGAAAGAACUAUUUAUAAUGCAUAGGUGUAAGGAAAAUAGGUGAAAACACAUUUUUAAGACAAAAAAAAGUUUAAAUAGUUUAACUUGAAGGAGUUAAAAUUAAAUUAAUUAUGUCUCGAAACCUAAGAAGUUUUAAAAUUAAAAUAAUAUACAUCUAAACUAUUAAAACAUGAGAAGAAAUAGUAUUUAGUCCUAAGUUUUUCUCAAUAAUUACAAUAGAAUGUCACUGUGAUCAAAACACAGUAGUUUUACGCUUUUGCUAACCCAAAAUUUUUGUAAACUACAGAAACGUUAACUCGUCUCGUUUGGUACACAAUCUUAUUAAUUAAAUUAUACCAGCAGGUACCAUAUACUAUUCGAAACCAAUACUCAAGAUUUAAUAGUUGAUCAACAAACAUACCUUAUAUUAUUCCAAUCCUGUACUCCAUUAAAUCUAUGGUUUAAAAUAGUUUUUUUUUCUAUAAGCUAACCCAUUAGAAACAAAACCAAACGAUUCAUCACGAUUUCUUAAUCAUAAUCUAAUCAAUAUUAAGUUUCUGGUUUUAUAUUUUGGCCAAUUUAUAUUCUGUCUAUAUUUGUUUAAAUUAUGCAUACCAACAUUUUGUAUAUAGGUCUAAUCAAGGUUUGGUUUAGCUAAUUUAUGGUUUUGUGAAUUUUUCGUUUUUUCUGACUACAAAAUCGAAACUAAAUAUGAUAUUUUCCUAAUAUAUAGCUUAGCUAAUUUAUAGUUUAACAAAUUUAUUAUUUGAGAAAAAGACUAGGAUAGCAUCAAACCAAGUUUUUGUUCCAAACUAGCACUCAAAGCUCAAAGUCACAAAUUUAAAUUUCAUUAAAGAGGUAAAUAUACAAUUAUACUCCUUAGGUUAAUUAAUUCAAACCUUAGGGUUUAGAGUUAAGACGUUUUGGAAUUAGAGUUUAAAAUUUUAUAAAAUAAAAAAUAAAUACUAAAAAUUUAAAAAUAAAAAUUUUAAAAACAGUUUCAAAAAGUAUUUUUGAAUUAUAAAAAGAAAUUUGAAAAUUUUUUUUUUUAAAAAAAGCGAAAAAAAAAUUUCAAAAAAACUUAUAAAAAAUUUCGUAUAUGAAAACAUAUAAUCUGAAACUAUAAAAAAAAUUAUUUUUUCAUUUUUUAUUUUUAUUUUAUUUAUUUUUAUUUAUUUUUGUUUGUUUAUUUAAUUUUAAACCAAAGGUAUUAGGGAUAUUUUACCCUUUAAUAAAUGUCAUUUUUGUGAUUUUCUCCUUCUAAUGCCAUUUUUGAGACAAAAACUCAAAAGGUGCUAUUAUUGAUAAUUGCCCUUAUUAUUUGGCAUAUUUUUGAUUGUUUUGUGUUCAAAAUCUAAACUAAAUAUGCUAUUUUCCUUACACAACUCACUACCAGUUAAAAAUGAUCCCUAAUUCCACACAAUCGCUAUUAACCGCAUUAGAUCAUAACUAAAUAUUUGUUUCUUCGGAAAUAAAACAAAAUCCCAACUGUUUUUCUAUUUUUACGUAAUCAUCAUAUCAUAAAAAGAUAUCUAUUAAAUAACAAGAUCAUCAUCUAUUCUAUUAAAACUGAAGUACAUAAUAAUACUUGACUAUUUUAAAGUGGAUUUUUUAAGAUUUGUUUUGUUUUUUUGACUAAUUAUAGUCAGUUCAUUUGUUGUUUUCAUUUAAGUGUUUUAUUAUAUUUUUUACAUUUUGAUUUCACUCUUUCAAACUACUUCAUUAAUUGCAAUUACCAUAAUAAUUCGAUGUCAUUUAUUUUACAUAUUAACCAUAAUAAUUUUACGUGUUUAAAUGAAUUUUUUCUAUUAGUAACAAAAAUUCUCUAAAGCUGACACGUAAGUAUUCUAAAGUUGAAAUGACUGUGAAGAUGAUACUUGUUAAUGUGUGUAUGAACAAAUUUAUUGAAAUGCUUUUUUUAAUUUAUAGGGGAUACUUCAUUAUGAACAUAUUUAUAUUUCCUUUCUUACUGUGAAAAUCCUUAUAGUCACAACUCCUAAUGGUGACUUUUCACAAUAUUACGGCAGUAACCGUCACCUAAACCAUACAUGAUAUAUGCGUGCGCAUCUAUACUAUACUAAAAGGCAAAUAUAAGCCAUGGAGAGGGUGUCCACAUAGGAUAGAAAAAUCAACCAAUCAGAGAGCCCGAAAUUGCCACGUCAUCUCAUUUAUUUUUUCGUAAAAAAUGAAAAAAAAUACGAAGGAAAUGAUCGAACCCGGGUUAUUAUGACUUUAAUAUAGGGCAGUUACAACUAAGCUAUUGAAAUUUUCUUGAACACAUAUACAAGAAUCACUAAGUAUGUAAUCACAAACUCUUAUAUACAAUUACAAUAAUAUGAAUUUAACUUUCAAGACUCCGAUACUUUGUUUUGUAAAAAAAAAAUAAGUAAGUGACUAAGCUAAUAUAUUCUUUGAAAGUGUGAGAACAUUGACAAAUAUGAAAAANNNNNNNNNNNNNNNNNNNNNNNNNNNNNNNNNNNNNNNNNNNNNNNNNNNNNNNNNNNNNNNNNNNNNNNNNNNNNNNNNNNNNNNNNNNNNNNNNNNNNNNNNNNNNNNNNNNNNNNNNNNNNNNNNNNNNNNNNNNNNNNNNNNNNNNNNNNNNNNNNNNNNNNNNNNNNNNNNNNNNNNNNNNNNNNNNNNNNNNNNNNNNNNNNNNNNNNNNNNNNNNNNNNNNNNNNNNNNNNNNNNNNNNNNNNNNNNNNNNNNNNNNNNNNNNNNNNNNNNNNNNNNNNNNNNNNNNNNNNNNNNNNNNNNNNNNNNNNNNNNNNNNNNNNNNNNNNNNNNNNNNNNNNNNNNNNNNNNNNNNNNNNNNNNNNNNNNNNNNNNNNNNNNNNNNNNNNNNNNNNNNNNNNNNNNNNNNNNNNNNNNNNNNNNNNNNNNNNNNNNNNNNNNNNNNNNNNNNNNNNNNNNNNNNNNNNNNNNNNNNNNNNNNNNNNNNNNNNNNNNNNNNNNNNNNNNNNNNNNNNNNNNNNNNNNNNNNNNNNNNNNNNNNNNNNNNNNNNNNNNNNNNNNNNNNNNNNNNNNNNNNNNNNNNNNNNNNNNNNNNNNNNNNNNNNNNNNNNNNNNNNNNNNNNNNNNNNNNNNNNNNNNNNNNNNNNNNNNNNNNNNNNNNNNNNNNNNNNNNNNNNNNNNNNNNNNNNNNNNNNNNNNNNNNNNNNNNNNNNNNNNNNNNNNNNNNNNNNNNNNNNNNNNNNNNNNNNNNNNNNNNNNNNNNNNNNNNNNNNNNNNNNNNNNNNNNNNNNNNNNNNNNNNNNNNNNNNNNNNNNNNNNNNNNNNNNNNNNNNNNUAUAGAGGAAUGCAUCUAGAUCUUAUUUUUCAGCAAUGUGCCCUUGAACCAGAAUCUAUUGAUCAUUGUUUACAUGUUUAGAAUUGUGGGGAUAUGGAGACUAUCAAAACUCCCUUAUCAUUAUUUGUUAAACACAAAUUAUAGUGUUGACGAAAAAUAUAUACUUUGGCCAAUUUAUACGGACAAACAUCAAUUACUACUCAUCAACAACACUUACCGUUUUGGAAUGUUAUGGCGGAUAUGGAAAUCACACAAAUUCUUGUUAUUCAGGAAGCAGAAAUUUUAUUUUCAUGAAACAGUGGAUUAUGCAAUGGCUGACGUUGAAGAAUGGAUGGCAUAUAUGAGCUCAAAUCACCAUAACAAUACCCAUUGGCAACUAUCACAAAAGACCUGAUGGACCAUACCCAUUACCGGUCUGCUCAAAUGCAAUUAUGAAGCUGCCUUCGGUCUCCAUACGGGUAACCGUUAUUGGUGGCUGGAUCGUCAGGGAUUGUCAAGGCUUAACAAAAAUGUGGGGAUCAGGUUGUGCAGGUAAUUAACGCUGGACCGAGUUUUGAAGUAGAUGGUUAUAGCAAUACAAAAUGUUUGGAGUGCAAGAUUAUCUCAAAUCGUUGUCGAAGGAGAUUCAAAAGUUUUGAUUAAUACCUUAAAUGGUACACAUGAAAAUGUUGUUGGGCCUAAUAUUAUAGCCUAAUGGCUAAAUUAAUAAAAGGCAAAAUGUGAAUACAAAUGGGCCUACGGGUCACAUGGCAAAAGCCUGGUUGACUUUAGUGAAUGAAACUUAACAACAUCCCACAUCGGGGAAGUAGAGAGGAGAUGAGCAAUAUAUAUAUGCUCAUGUGUUAUGAGUGGUUAAACGGCUCAAGGAGAGAGAAAAUCUCUCCACGCGCGAACCUCCGCCGUCUGACCGGUUCAACUGGACAGAGGGUCUCUGGCCCAAUAAAAAAUUUUUUGGACCAAGUUAAGCUCAAUGUUUUGCCAUUCAAUUCGGAAAAAAACAACAUGCAAUUUUAUUUAAAAUGACAAGUAGUUGGUCUAGAAAAUAAAAACGUCAUGCAUUUUAUCCUCUCGAAAUUUUUAAACGAGACGAGAGAGAGUUGGGAAUAAGUUUUCGAAACUCAACUUCCCGUGAUCUCCGCGAGAUUUUCGCCCACGUGCAGCAACUGUUGCGGGAGGUGGCUCUCUUUCUUCUCUUUAAAUAUCACCUCUCCUCUUCAUUCAUUGAUGAGGUUUUUCACAUCGAAACCAACAGCAAAAUUCCCUUACCGUAAGUCAUAAAAUCCGAGAGUGUUUCGUAGAGUAUUUAGUUCGUUAGGGCGUUCACGAGUGAAGCGUGAAUCCUCUGCCAUGGUUGUAUCCUGGGACUCGAUAUUCGUACAGUUUCGUCUCACUAACGGAUCGAAUAUUUAGGGUUAAGGAAAGAGAUUAUAUCUCGAUUCCAUGUUCGUUCGUGAAUACGAUCUCUUAUCAUUUUUUUUUUCUCUUUUACAAUCGUCAAUUUCCUCAACAUAUCGCUUUUAUUAUAUCGUUUUUGUCAGUCCGGUUAUCCGGCUUCUACAAUCUUAACUCUAAAUUCGCUUUCUAUUUAAAGCGUUUGAUCGGAUUGAAAAACGGUUUAACAAGGAUUUGUUAACGGUUUUUAGAACGAUGUUUGCGAUUUGCUCUGUAGCAUUUUCUAUAGGGCAAUUGUCAAUAAUAGCACAUUUUGAAGUUUAUGUCUCAAAAAUAGCACUAGAAGGAGAAAGUCACAAAAAUGACAUUCAUUAAAGAGUAAAAUAUUCAUAAUACCCUUGGUUUAAAAUUAAAUAAACAAAUAAAAAUAAAAAUAAAUAAAUAAAAUAAAAAUAAAAAAAAGAAUUUUUUUUUAUAAUUUCAGAUUAUAUGUUUUCAGAUUCGAAAUUUUAUAAUUUUUUUUUUGAAAUUUUUUUUCUUAAAAUUUUUUUUAUUUUUUUUCAAAUUUUCUUUUUAUAAUUAAAAAUACUUUUUGAAACUGUUUUUAAAAUUUUUAUUUUUUAUUUUAGUAUUUAUUUCUUAUAAAAUUUUAAAUCAUAAUUUCAAAACUCCACCUCUUAAUUCUAAACCCUAAGGUUUGGAUUAAUUAAUCCAAGGGGUAUAAGUGUAUAUUUAUCUCUUUAAUGAAAUCUAUUUUUGUGAUUUUGAACCUUGAAUGCUAUUUUGGGAACAAAAACUUGGUUUGAUGCUAUCCUAGUAUUUUUCUCUUUAGUUAAUUAUAUUUUCAAGCAACUCAUUUCCGUUAUGUUCUCUUAGUGAUACGUAAACACAUAGCCAUCAUGUUUCAUGAAAGUCUUUUUAGUUAGAAAAGGCCAGUGGCUUUAAUCCAUAAAAUCAAACACUCAGUUCCUUAUUCAACAACCUCUUUUUUCUUUUUUACAUUCCAUCCCAUAUUCUCUCUUUUCCACAUAAUUAUUCAAUACUUUUUUUAAUCAAUACAAUAGUUUUACUUAAUAAAAUUUAACAUUAUAUCAUAUAUUUUAAUUCAUAUUCUUGUUUUAUAUAAUCUGACAAAUAUGUAUCAAUAGCAUUUUCUAUUUUAAUUUUGAAGAAAAACUAGAAGUAUUUUGAAUAUUAAAAAAAAUUAUUAUUAGGAUAUAUUUAACAAAAAAUAACAUUUUUAUUUUAUAUCCAAAUAAAAUGAGACUAGUCUUUAUUUAUACAUCAUAAAAAUGCUGCAUUUUGGUAUAAUUUUUUUUAAAAAAAAAUAAGUUUACUAUAAAAUAAUUAUAUUUGAAUAAUUUGGAAGAAUAAAAAAAGUACAGAAAUAUCAGUAACCAAUAAGAAUACAAAAGAGACAAUGUAGGCCCAUUCAAUUAUUUUUCAACCGGUUGAAAACUUUCAACAGGUAAAUAAUCCACUUGGAUUCUCACAUUUUUUAACAGCUCAAUUGCUUCAAUUAAAUAGUUGAAUUUUCAAUUCAACAAGCUAAUUGCUCAUGGUCUUAGAAAAUUUCUCACUUACGUACGAGCAAAAUGAUGUACGGGUCAAUUUUAUAUAUUAAUCAAAAGAUGUGUCUUAACCAACACAACUCUUCCACACAACACUUCACUAUUUUAACAGCACAAGUGCAUUAUACUGUAUCAUCAUAUGUAUAUUAAAUCUUAUAGUAAUAUAUUCUAUUAUUAUUACUAUAAUAAAGAGAUUAAGGACCUUAACAAAUAUAAGGUAAAGUAGGAAAGUUAUCAAUAUAUCUGAAUUCUAAUUCAUUAAUCAAAAUUGAUCCAUCACGGUAUCGUCUUUUAUAUUUUAUAUUAGAAUCUAAAAACAUUAACGUAAACUUGAACUUUAUAUUAGACUAAUAGACAUAUAGGUCAUAUAGAAUAAAAAAUAUUCUUAUACCCACAUCCCAUUCUCAGCGGCUAAACACCAACCGAAAACACGGUAGAGAGAGUUGGCAACGCGUUUGGCGAUGCCGUGGAGUAGCUUACAGCUUCGGGCUCAAGUACUCCUCCCUUCGUUGCACUCUUCACACUGAGACAAAUUACAAUACAAAAUUAUAUAACAAUAUAUAUUUGCGAUAAUAUAUGAACAAAAGAGCCGUGUCGGACCACACAUGGGCACCAGGUGAAAAAUGAAAAAGUCGCCUUGUCUCAUCAUUUCGCAAAUUGACAAAACUCACGGUGCAUGACAAACGCGUUUCAUGAUUUUUAUACGGAGAUUUGACCUCACCUUUCUUCAAAAUGUUACAAAACAAAAAGUGAAUUAUUUCUCUCCAACAUUCAAAAAAAGUAUUGGAAUAUUUCAUGUGAUAAAAAAACCAAAACCGAAACUCUUCAAACAUAAUCUGAACCGAACUUUUUAUUUUUUUUUAAAUUGAUUUGAACGAUCAUUGGAGGAAAACCUUUUAUUUAGCAAAAAAUAUCAAUUUGUUUUCAAAUAUUCUUUUUUUUAUAUUAAAUUUUAUAUUUAUUAAUCACAGAAUAAACGAGCAUUACAAAUGAGAAGAGAGUAAGCUAAACUCUAAAAUAAAGUUUCUUUUGGAGUCAUUUUAAAAACCUCCAGCUCCUAUUGACGAACAUAUAUUUCCACCCGUUGACGGAACAGUCCUUCCAACUUGUGAUUCCCAGUGUACUUCAGCGAAGAGAUCCUAUUGCGGAUUGCUUUAUUAACCUGCCUAGUGAACGCUUCUUGUAGUUACCCAAGGACCCAAAUGUCUACAAGAGUUGUGCUCUUUCCAAAUAAAGUAAACGGUUGUAUGGAAAACCAGUCGUAAAAGGAUAGCAUCCAUCUUGUUUCUAUUACGCUGUAGCAGAGAUGUCGCUGUAAUUGUCCAAUCCGGUGAUGCAGUAGUGUCCAGUAGAAUAGCAGUUAGAGUAGUCCAGACAGUGAAUGUGAAGGGGCAUGCAAAAAACAGAUGAUCCAUGCUUUCUUCACGCUCUCCACAAAACAUAGAGCCUUGUGUGAUCCCCCAUUGCCGCAUACGGACUCCUAUGGAGAGUCUAUCCUUAAAUGUCAACCAAACAAUGAAAGCAUGGCGUGGUACUCCUUGUGUAAACCAAACGAGAUGGUGCCAAGGUACUUCAGGCCCCCGAUCUCUAAUCUGAUCCCAAGUUCUCACUGUUGAGAAGUGGUCCUUGUAGUCCUCCUCAUCGUGCCUCCAUAAAAUAACAUCGCUUUCUUCCUAGCCUCUGGCUUCUGCACAUUCUCAGAAUCUCAAUAGCGGUAUACACAUCACCAAAUACUCUCCGACCUCGACUCCGCAUUCCCCAGACCUCAUUUGGACACACUUCAGAAACACGAGCUUGACGAGGUAUGCCUAGAUACCGCAAACCCAAAUCUCAUGUUAUGUUGAUAAUACUUCGAGUGCCUAACCAAUUGUCGAACAAGAAAAAAGUUGAACCACCACUUUUAACUUCACUGCGCAUAAACCUUGCUGCCUCCAGUCUGAGCUUAAGUAAUUUGCGCAAGAACCAUGAACCCAUAUUAGUAACUUUUGCGUCCCAAAACAACCAUAGCUUUUUGUACUAAUUAUAUUAAAUGUAGUGUAAUAUAAUACUUUAAACUUAAUUUUGAUGAUGAGACUGCUUUGUCUCUGUGGCAUGAUAACUUUAAACUUCUCUUAGUCACUUUGGGCGAAAAGGGUUGUAAAUAUUACACCAAGAUUAAUGGUUCUUGAAGAGUUAUCUUUCUUGCGGAGUUGACUUAACUAAUAGUGUGACUUUGAUUGUGUUCUUGCGCUUGUAUGAUUCUGUUGAUCCUUUCCAUGUCAAGGCAGUGGAUACAACUGGUGCUGGUGAUUCAUAUGUUGGUGCCGUGCUUUGCAACAUUGUUGACGACCGCACUGUUCUCAAGGUAAACAUAACAUCAGAUUAGUCUUUGGUGAAUUUGGAAUCGUUGCUGGGCGUGUUGUUCUGUCUUUAACUACAGGACGAAGCUCGUCUUAGAGAGGUGCUUAGGUUUGCUAAUGCAUGUGGAGCCAUUACGACUACCAAAAAAGGAGCUAUUCCAGCUCUUCCUACAGAGUCAGAGGUUCAGAGUCUCUUGAAUGGAAACUGAUCAAAGACAUGUCUGGUUUUAGGAUAUUUUUUAUUCCACUUUCUUCAAGUGUUGUUUUAAGGGUUUUACUUUAAUGAAUAAGAGAAGUCAUUACCAAAGCUAGAGAAGGAUUGUUUUGAAGUAGAGAAAGCGUUAAAGAACAAUAGCUUGAGGAUAACAUUCAGAAACUUGCAAAUCCAAUGAUCUCCAAAUGUGUUUGCAUUCUUCCCACCUUGAACUCAUCCUCUCCAUAAAUGCUUCAGCCCACACUUCCUUGCUACCUCCCAUACUCAGUUCACAUGGCACCGAAAAACUGCAAAGUCAAUUUCAGUUAGUUUCACAGAUGCAUUGUUGUUUAGGCAGCAAAGUAAGCAUCUUGGUUUUGAAAAAAUUUACCUUGUUAGCUCUUCUAAAAGAGAGUCUUUCUCGGUGGUACCUUUCCUGGAAGAUAGUUGUGUUAGGCAUCACAACAAUGAUUAAAAAGCUGGAGUUACAAGUAUAAAAUAGCCUUAACCUUUGUACUAGAACUUUGAAGAUGCGGAGAGACUUGGUUGAGAGGUUGUAGAUUGCUUCUUCUAUGUGAUCUGUGCCGAAUAAAUACACAACCGGGUAGUCCAGGAGCCACCUGCUUAUACAGAUCAAAGCUUAAUAAACUAAGAUGACAUAUGGUGAAAUGAAUCAAAGAGUUGGAUUUGAAAAAAAUUUACCCGUUUAGUGUUGGGAUUGUAACCUUAGUGUCUUGUAAACAACAACUAAGAUCAAUGAACAAAGAAGACUUGGCAUCAUUAUUGCUGCCAUCUAAAGGAAAUGUGGAAGAGAAUAGCUUCUGAAUCGACCUAAGCUGCAUCCCUAGAUUGCUUUCCUUGCUUUGUUCCACCAUCUUUAACAAACAAAAAGCAAGAAUGAGAUCAAAUCCAAUUGGAGAAAUAGAGCAUGAGAAGAGACACCACUGAAACAAAGACAAUGAACAACCUGUGGAGGAUCUUGUUCCAGGUCGACGAAGAACAAUUCAGGUUCUGAACUCAACCACUUGGGCAGUCUUCUUACAUUGAUCAGGUAAAUCAUAUCCUCUAUAACCAUAACUCUCAGAUCUUUGAAAACUGGUAAAACCUAGAGGACACAAGCAGCAUGAACAAAGAGUCAGCUACAUACAUACAGACACACUCAAGUACUAAUGUCCUUGAAGAAAAAAGAGGUAGAGACUAACCUCUUGGAUAAGCUCGAGAAGGGAAAGCAAGCGAUCUUGUAGCUCAGGCAACUUGCCUCCAUAGUCAAUCAUCACAACUGGUCUCAUCCCCGUGCAUAGUGCCAGCACAUCUACAAAUUCAAUCAUAUGGGAAACUGAAUGAUUAUUUGAUGGUAAUUGCUAAAGUUACAAACUUUCUAUGGAAAAUGAUAAACCCACCAAACAAGGCAAUCAACAAGCUUCGAUAGGAUUUUACACACAAUAAACUCGAAAGAAUCAAAAUUUUAACAAAGAAGAAGGAAACCUAUUUCGAGACGGCGUUUAGAAUUGGGCUUAAGUCGCCAUUUGAUCUGAGAGAGACAAGAGCUCAUACACUCAAGUAUCUCCUCACAGCUUGGAGCCUCCAUCUCGCACAAAAAGACUCCAACUUUCUCGGAAACAAAUGCUGGGAUGGGACAAAGGGGGUCAAAAAAAUCUGAAAAAGGACCUUCUCUAUUUUUAAUUAAAAAUGAAUUAAAAAUAAAUAGAAAUUAUGAAGAAAAGACUGUAAAAUCUAAGGAUUUAGAUAUAUUUACUAACUUAUACCAUUACUAUCCUAUUUAGAUCCGACCCAGAUCCAGACCCAGACCCAGACCCAAAAACCUAUCUAACUUUAACCCUAAUCUUCUUCUUCUUUCUUCUCUUUUCUUCUCCAUUAAUAUUUUUUCAUCUUGAAGCAAGAACAAAAAAAUUCUUCAACCAUCCACCAAAUGUUUAUUUCUUAUCCCAAAUCGAUCAACCCAGAAUCAUAUUUAAUCAAUUUUAUCUUAUCUAGAAGCAAAUUCCAUGUUAUACGUACGAGAUUCAAAAUAUAAAAAAGACGCAGAGUAUUACUAAUACAACUAGUACAACUCCAACUAAUACAACUAGUACAGCUCAAAUUAAUAUAACUAGUAUUACUAGCACGAGUAUAACUAGUAUAAAUAGAUUGAGUAUAACCUUUAUAAUUGAUACAACUUUGCAAUUAAUAUGGUGAUUUUUAAUUUUUUUGUUUCGGAGUAUGAAGAUGACAGAAACGAGGAUCAUGUAUAACCAAUAAGAUAUGUUCGUCUAAUCUUCCCCGACAUGUAUGUAUCAAAUACAUGAAUAUGUUAUUUUAAUAGUAUUUUAUUUGGAUAGUGAUUUCUUUAUAAGAUGUAUAAUUUUCUUUAUUGAUUGUUUCCAGCAUAUGAAAAUGCUAGAAAGGAGAAUGAUAUAGAACCAAUAAGACAUAUUGGUCUAAUCUCUUCUGCUUGCAUGUGACAAAUAUAUGAAUAGUAUAUUUUAAAUAAUAUUUGAUUUGAAAUUGUUACGUUUAUAAGUUACACUAGUUAUACUAGUUGUACGAUUUUCGGAAAAAAUCAUCUUCAUCUUUUUAGUCUCGAGGCACAAAAGCUAGAUGCGGAGCCAGAAAAUUCUUCAACCAUACCGGACAGAAGAAACAGAUUGGGUUUGAUGUAUGAUUUUUUUUUUGCAAGUAAUUGUUUUAAUCGUGAUGUAUUAAUACAAUUGUUAUCAACAAUUGUAAAAUUUUAGUUUGUUUAUCAAGAUAAUAAUAGCUAUUAGAAGAAAACAGAAUUGCAACAAAUAAUACAAAUAAUCAGUAAAAGUAUUAAUUAAGAAUUAAUUACCAAAAUAAAUCAUUUUAAUCAAUUUUUUUAAAAAAAAAUUACAUUUAAUUAGUAAAUGAUAUAAAUCAGAAAUUCUAAAUGAUACAUAUUUUUGACUAACUUCUUAAAAUUGAUACUAAUUUUGUGUAAAAUGAAAUGAUGCAAAUAAUUUAUAUAUUUACAUCAAUUAUUAAAUAAAUUGAUGUAAAUUAUUUGCAUCACCAAUUAUUUUAGUACAACCGAUACAACUAAAGCAACAUACUAACAUGUAGUUCAACCACAGUGUUUAAAACAUGAUACACAUUUAAAACUUGAUGCACAAUACAAGAUGAAAUAACAUAGUUGUACUAGUAUUUGAGUUGUACCGGUUUGUACAUAGUUGUACUAGUUUUUGAGUUGUACCGGUUUGUACAUAGUUGUAUUUUGGCAUUGAAAUCGAAAAAAACUAGUUGUACCACAUAAAAUUUAAACUUACCUCAGUUGUACCACUUCUUUAUGUGUACAUGUCUCUGCCCCAAUAAAAUGAAAUCAUCAAUUUUGUUAAAAUACAUUUUAUGUAUGUUUUCCAAAAAUUAUGUGGACAAAGAAGUUAACAAACCUUAAAAGUAUAAGGUAGAUCAUGCAAACUCAUGAGAUGAUGUGAAAACUGCAAAAAAAAAAAACAAAAAAUUAUCACAAAUAAAAGGAACCUAUCUAAAUCCUUACCAAUUUGGCCAGCUAAUUGUUUUUUUCAUAUGGAAUAUCGAAUGGAAUAUUUCAAUUUCAGAAUCUGAAUAGUUGUACUAGUUAUAUCAGUAUCACUAGUCUGGUAAAUAAGACAUAGUUGGACUAGUUAUACUAGUAUCACCUGUAUUGUUUGAUACAUAUGCAAAAGUUUUAUCAGUUGUACCAUAGCUAAAAACGAUUUAUUCUAUAAUAUCAUGCUUCAUACUUUAACAACAUUAUAUUAAAUCUUAGAAUCUUACUCAUAACGUUAAUAUACAUAUUAUGUGACUAAACUGAAACAUAAAACAUUAGAAAAAUAAAAAAGAUAGAGAAGAGUGAGAGAAAAAGAGAGGGAGAGAGUAUACACUUACCAAACGAUUUUAGAACCAAAGACGAUGCACAUGUGCUGUUUCAGGGCAUCAUAAGCUGUAGAAAGACCUUAAGAAACAUAUGUAAAGGUUUGUGGACGAAGAGUUGAAGAAGAGAGCUUUGGUUGGUGAAUGUAAUGAAUUUUCAUGGUGGUUAAUUGAAUAUGGUUGAGGGUGAAAUGAAGAAGAAGAAGAAGAGUGAUUAAAGUUUAUGUGGAACCCAGCCGAGAGAGAAGAAGCUAGAUGGUGAAAUCCAAUGGCUAAGAUUAAAACAUACUCAUAUGAUCCAAUGGCUAAGGAAUAAGAUUCAUUAAUGGCAUUGUUGUAAAUAUUUUAUCCUUAAAAAUCCGACGGUUCAGAUUAUAACGUGAAUGAUUUUGAUCUAAUGGUUGAUAUUGAACUUUCAUUAAGGGUAAAAUCAUAAUUUACACUCACUUGUCCCAUAAGAGAUUAGUUUUGGUGGUUGUAGAUUUUUUUUUGGUCCUUUGUCCCAUAAGAGAUUAAAGUCCAACUUUCUCUUCUUCUCUCUAUCGAGGUGAGUCACUUCCUUAUUCCUUCUCCGACUUUGGUCGCAUUUUUUAUUAUUUAGGAAAGUUUCAAAACAAACCCUGAACUUUUGAGUUUUCUCAUAAAUUACCCUACACUUAUUUCGCAUUAAAUAAAAACAAUGAGGUGUCGAACUCUUAUUGGCUCACUGAUGAAGAAGAGCAAACACACGGCGUUUCACACCACUUUUAUUACACGAUCUAAACGAGAUUCUUCACUUGUAAGAGCAUCAGCAUCAAUGAAUCUUGAGUGGGGGUCAUAAUUUUAAUUUUUUUAUUAUUUUUUUUAUAUUUUUUUCGUUUGAUUUAAAAAAAAAAUAUAUAUAUAAGCGGACCAAUCGCGGGCCGCCACGUGGCGUGGAGUCCGCGUUACAGGGAUGAACUCGUAUCAGUGGAGAGAGCUUACACGAUCUGGGUUCACAAAAAGUAGAUUAUUAUAAUAAUUUUUUUUUUUUGGGAAUUGUGUGAACUUUAUACAUAAUCUCCUAAUGCGGGUGCUCUAAUGCCUUCUCUGUACCUUGGUUCUGGCCUUAUCAGAAGCGGCUUGGGAGCUUAAGGGGAGAAAAUAUUCGGCUCCAGCUCUGAGUAUGUGCAAAGCAACGUAAGUUAAACCAUGCUUGUGUAGCGUUUCAUUUAUUUUUUUUAACUCUAAGUUGUUGAUAUGAGCAGAUAACUCGUUAUUUCUCCGAUCCCCAAUACUAUUUUUCAAGUGAAUGAUCAAUAUGUGAGGAACAAGUUGAAGAUUGUUCUACUUCCUUUCCUUCAUAGGGUAAGAGGAAGGCUUACUUUGUUUUGGUAUUUCUCUUUUAUGUGUGUUGGGGGUCAUAUGAUGAGUCCUGCUGUAACCUUAUCAGGGACAUUGGACUAGAAUCUCAGAACCAAUUGAGGGUAGACUUUCAUACAAGCCUCCUAUAUAUGAUAUUAAUGCGCCAGACUUGUACAUUCCCCUCAUGGCCUUUGGCACUUAUCUUGUUCUUGAUGUUUUGUCACUAGGACUCUGUGGCAAGUAAGUUGCUUUAUUUAUCUUAUAUAUUUUUCAGGUGUAUAUGUUUCUUUUUUUUUCAGCCCUUUUGAUCCUUGUGCUAGGUUUUAUUCGGAAGCUCUGAACUGGCUUUUUGUGAAAGGAAUGGUUGGCUGUUUUUUUUGCAAGUCAUGCUGCUGGAGAUAACGUUGCUUUCAUUGGGUAGAGGCGAAUCACCUCUCUUGGACAUUGUGGCAUAUGCAGGCUAUGCUAACGCUGGUCUCUGCUUAGCUGUUCUUUGCAAGACUAUCUGGGGAUACUCUUACUAUGUUUUGAUUCCAUGGACCUGCUUAUGCACCGGGGUUUUCUUAGUGAGCGAGUUCUCUUUGCUGAAGCUAGGAGUUAUGACUCAAGCAGGCAUCAUUACCUCUUGAUCUUUGUAUGUAGCUUUAGCACAGUUUCCUCUUUUGAUCUUGCUUGGUAACAUUAGUGUCAAUCGGCUCUUUUGAGUUCCAUUAUGUUUACCAUGUUGUGAAUAAAAAGAACACCUCUAAUGUUAUAAGAUACAUGCGUGACGGUACUCCUGAUCCUGAUAGGAAGAGUGUUAUCUCAAUUACACAUCUCUCUUUCCAUAUUCUUUUAAUGCCUUUUUUUUUUGCGUUCUACAUUUCUAACAUGAUUAAAACCAAACAAGGACAUGAACUUUGGUCAUAUAGUAUUAUUAUCUCUACUCCAAGCUCUUCUUCUGCAUUGCGAAUUGGGCGUUUGUACUCCUUGGCAGAUCCUCUAAUCUGUUUAGAUAUCCUCUGAAAGUAUAAGCUUCUCCAUGAGUUCUCAAGUCUUUUCCCAUACUUUUUUUGGAAUAUCUCCGGAGAACAUGUUGCUCCGUAGAUUAAUGUCCUUUAGGUUCCCGUAAGUAGUUAGGUUGAGUGGAAGGUGACCUUGUAAAUUGUUUCCUUCAGCGUCAACGCAAGCGUGUUUCCAUUCCAUGCCAAUAACUUGAACAACCUCUAUGGAUAUGAACUGGUUAAGGGAUACAUUGAUGUGUGAGAUCUCUGGAAACGUUAGGAUCUCAUGACCAAUGGUUCCUGAGAAUCAGUUCUAGCUCACAUCUAAUGAAACAAGAUGUUUCAGCCUAUGUAAAGGCGAUACUGUUCUUGUAUUAGGUUUAUGGUUUUGAGCUCCUUGAGGCGUGUGAUUCCUGGGGAUAUGUCUUCGGUGAAGAAGUUUUGAGAGAGUGAGAGUUUGGUGAGUUGGAACAUAGUUUCUGGUAUUGGACCACGGAAUCUGUUCUUGUUGAGGCUAAGGAAACCGUCAUCGUCAACGUUAAUCUCUGUGACUCUGCUUGUGGUGUUCUCGAUAGUGAAAGAACACAUGACUCCCAAGAACGUUUCUGAGCCUUCACAAGGGUCUUCCGAGAUGUGCUUAGGUAAGAGGAAGGGGAGAUGGAACUUGGGUCAAUGCUACGUAUGAUAGACUCUCUAGAACUUGAAUAUCAGAUCGAAGAGUGGCUGAGAGAGCUGAUGAAGGGACAAUAGUUGAAACAAGUAGUAAAACAAUGACGUGAGUAGCAAGAGAGAAGAAGAUGGUUGUGUUUUUUUUGGGUAGCCAUUGUAAUGGUUCUUUCACAUGAGUCAUGAAUGAAAGACAUGUAAGUCUUUUAUAUUUUUGUACUAAGACAAAGAAGAAGAAGGUCGUCGUGUUUAACCUAAUUGGGAUCUAAAGUCUAAACAUGCUUCACAUUUUUGUAGCGUUAUUGAUAAGUUACAUCAAACCAAAUAUAGACCGACCUCAAAAACUCGUAUCAUGUCCCAUUUAGUCAAAGCUAACUUGUAAUGCAAGUUAUUAUCAUCAAAUGCAUACUAAACAGAUUACAUUUGUAUUAUUACUAUAUCUUAAUCUGUUUGAGAUGUGUGUCUAGACUAAAACCGACACUUUUUAUGAAAAUAGCGAAGUACCAAUUAGAGGUUACUAUUUUUGACAAUUUUUUAAAAUAUUGAACAUGAGAAAUUUGGAAGACAUUAUGCAAUACUAUUUUAGAUUUUUUUAAUCUAAAAAUUUGGUAAUCAUUCGACUAAUACCUAAGAAAAGGCAAUUGAAACAUUCAACAAAGUUAUAAAUUAGGAACUUACUAUUUCUAGAAGUUUGGUUUUAUAUAUAAAUACGUCAGUUUAUUGAUCUGAAAUUACUAACAAGAAAAAAAGAAGAAAAAAAAGAACCAUUUAAGAGCUUAUAAAACAAUGGCUAUCGAAAAGAAAACCCUGCUCGCCUCCUUCAUCACCAUCAUGAUGAUGGUAAUGAUGAUCGUGAACCAAGUCGAGGCCAGGAACCAUGUUACAAUCAAGCCGCCUCCAAAGUGAUCAUAGUCUUUUUGUUUUUCUAAAUCGAUGGCUCCAAAAGUUUAUGAGAAAAUAAAUGGUUCCUUCAACGUGGAGCUUAAAGCAUGGCUUAACUAAUUUUUAUUUACUAUAUAUAUAUCAUUCUUUUCAUCCUCUUAUUUGUUUAGUUAUGGAUGUAUAACUUAUAAAUAAUGUUUCACAAAAUAAUAUUUUGUAUGUGAAUGAAAUGUACUAGUGUCAUAUUUCAUAGGCAGAGAUUGGUGUUGUGAUCUCUCUAGAAAUUGAUAACAUUAAUAUUCACAUUCUUUUUUUCUUUUGUUUGUAAUUAAAAAGGAUAAUAAUAUCCUUGUUAUAUUAAUAUUUUUAAGUGAGAUUUAGCUACGAGAUACAGCAUAUAAUAAUCUGCAUGAAUAUAUCAUAAGUUAUGUAAAGCGGAACAAAAAAAUUAAGAUGGAAAACAAAGUCAAGAAUCCUGUUGAUUUGUUAUUUGGCGAUUACUGCGGUCUGCAUGCAUGUACGUUUGAUCUUUGUGACGUCAAUGAAAACUCAUUUUGUAUAUUCUACAGAGAGUGAAUACAUGUCAGAAUAUUACUUAGGAAUGCAACUAGAUAAUGAAAGUGUUUAUGAUUCGAUGAUCCUUUCAUUAAUCACAGAAGUAUAUUUAUACAAGGUUUGAUAGUUAUCGAUAUCUACCGUAUCUAAACUAUACAAAGGAAUAUACUUAUCCUAUGGUUAGGAUAUUGUGAUAUCCUAACUAACAGAUAAUUUGCAUUAUCCAUAGUAAAAAAAAUAUUCUACUUAUCAUCAGGAUCACCUAAUUGUUUACAAUAGUUAUUUUCAAAUCCUUUCAGUAUGAAUUGAGAGAGAGCUAAGAGCAACAUUAUUGGUUAGUAUCUAAAAACAAGUAUCUAAACAAAUUUAGUAUUGUGGAAGCACCGUAGCCUAUUGGUUAAGGUUUAAAGGUUUUUACACCCAGGUAUGGGGUUCAAAUCCCAAACUAUGCAAUUUAUUGCAGAUUACAGAAAAUCCAGGUUUCAAGUCCUGGAGAGAACGGUUUAUUAAAAACAAUAAUGCAGACUACAAAGGAAAGACUUACAAGGGAUCUUCAACAUGGUGCAAGUAAAUCUGGAUAUGCGUGGAUCUUCAUAGGACGGCUCAAGUGAUGCAGUUAGGCGUAGGUCUUCAUAAGGCAGUUAGUAUUGUCGGUUGUCGAAUCGUCUAUGUAAUAUUUCCUAUAUCAUAAUUGUAAGAUCAUAAUAAAUCAGCGUUAAAAAAAAUAAAAAACAAAUUUAGUAUUACUAUUUUAAUACAAUUUAUCUAUAUAAUUCAAUUUAAUUUCCUAAAAAGACUAAAAUAUUAAUAAGUGGACAAUAAGUGAACACAUGGCAUUAAAAUAUCUAAUGAAUUUCCUAUAAACUCUAAUUUUAAAACUUCACUACAUUCUCUUUCCUAUUUUUCUAAUUUGUUUCUUUAUUUUAAAAGUGAAAGACUCCCUAAUAUACUUCCAUUGGAAGUGCUUUAAAGAAAGAAUCGGUUGUUAAGUCUUUAAUUCAUUACUGGCUGUAUAUUAUUAUUGGCUAUCAAUUGGUUAAGUGGUUUAUAAGUAUGGAUUAGUGGUGAGAGUUACGUCAUCCUAAAACCAAACAUUGCAUUACAUAGUAAUAAUCAUUUUAUAACUUUCGAACGAAAAGUAAACACAAACACGAAAAAAACACUCCUUGUCUACUUUGUCUAGACGAGACUUUUCCAUUCGAUUCAUCUAUGGUCUGUUUCCUUUUUUUUUCUUAAUAAGAUCUAUAGCUGGACUUAAAAAUUAAUGGUAACUGGCCCAUACCUCGGCCCAUUAACUAAAAACUGGGUUCUGAUUUUCGAUUCGGUGAAAGAAGAAACCUUUCCUUCUGAGAAAAUCAGGAACUCGUUAGCGCGAACUCGAAGAACCGAAUCGAAUCGAAUCGAAUCGAAUCAACAAAAGAAGAGAUCUUUCUUCAUCCUUCUGGAGAAUACUCGCAGAUUCUCACUUGGGUCGGCACGAUUAGCUGAAAAGGUCCCACCUUUCGGGUUUUUUUUGUUCCUCUCUCACAGAUCUUGCAGUGUCGGUUACAAUGGGAAGACCCUUGCUUUACGACAUCAUCGAGAAACCCGCAACGAGCUGCAUCAUAACCCUAUGCAGCUUAAUCUGGUUCCUGAUCCAGAAGAAGAGUAUUGGCUACUCCCAAGUUGGGCUAAGCUACGAGACUGCUACUCAAGGGCAUUACUGGAGAAUCAUCACCUCUGCUUUCUCCCACAUCAGCGUCUUGCAUCUCGUCUUCAACAUGAGUGCUCUCUGGAGUCUCGGCGUUGUUGAACAGUUAAAGCAUUUAGGUCUCGGAACUGCUUACUAUCUUCACUACACUCUUGUUCUUGUUAUCUUCUCUGGUGGUUUGGUUAUUGGGAUGUAUCAUUUGCUUAUCGGUAGGUUCAAGAUUGAGUAUUUCAGGAGGGUUACUGCCGUUGGUUACUCUUGCGUUGUGUUUGGUUGGAUGACGAUUUUGUCUGUGAAGCAGCCUUCUUCGAAGCUUGAUCUUUUUGGGGUUUUGUCUCUUCCCAUUAGCUUUGCGCCCUUUGAGUCGCUUAUUUUCACUUCUAUUAUUGUUCCGCAAGCUAGCUUUCUGGGACAUUUGUCGGGGAUUCUUGUUGGUUACGCUGUUUCGUGGGGUUUGAUUGGUGGGAUGAACAGCUACUGGGCUGUUACCAUGCUUGGUUGGAUCGUUGUGGUGUUUGUUUUCAGUUUGAAGAAGUCUGGUGCUUAUGAUUUCAGUUUUCUUGAGAUCGAGUCGGUUAGUGAUGCUUCUUUGCCUUCGCUGCGGUUUGUUGGAAACGGACGGACCUUGCAAGCUAGUGCAGUUCCUCUUAGUGGAGUGGAAGUUCUAUGAGCUAGAUGAAGACGGACUGAGAGUUGGUAACCAAGUUAAAAGAUACUUUAAGGCUUUGCGUGAGCUGCUUCCUGUGUUAAUCAAGUUUAGUGUUGUUUUAGGCAUCAUUACAGAUGAGUAGGACAGUCUUAUGUUUGAUGUAUAGUUGCACAAAAAGGGUACCCUGUCUCACCUUAAGAUUACAUCCACUACUAGACCUUUCACAUUUUAUUUUAAUUAUGAAAGCAUUGCUACAAAACAUUCUUGUUGUUUCUUUGAUAUAUUGUAUAUGUUUUUAUCAUUUGCAUUCUUGCAAUUUUAACAAGGUAAUUAGACGAAGCUUUCUGCAGGUGUCUUUGAUUAGACCAGUGUCUUCUCUUGUAAAUUAUUUCAAUCCUCUGUCCUUUACUUUUUUUAAAAAAGGUAAGAAAAGGGUAGAAUAACAACUAGAGAUUCACAGUUGUAGGUUGGAUGGCUUACAGGUCAAACAUAGUCAUGGCAAUUUCAUUUGUCUAUGAGAGUAAUCUAAAUUGGAUCCACUUUGGACUAGUUUUGUUCAUUACCGUUUAACCUACUUCCAACCCAAUUUUCCUUCACAUGAUCUCUGCAUUAUUACCCCUAACUCCUACACAACCACAUUUUCUCUAUAUUUAUUAUAUAAGCUGUACACUGAUCAGGUGAAUAUAAUCUUUAUCCAUCUCUAAGAACUUUCAAAUGGAGAAGAAAGGCCACCGUAGUACACAUGACUCCUUGCUGACACACCACCCAGUUCUCUGUAUCAUUGCCUUGUCUGUAAUUUUCAUAGCGAUCGACCCCUUUCACAUAAGUCCAGUUGGUGGUCGUGAGUUCAAACCCGUGAAGCAUGAGGUUGCUCCAUACAAGCAAGUCAUGGAUAACUGGCCAAGAGACAACCUUAGCCGACUAGGCCAUCAUGGGAAGCUCGAGUUUGUGGAAGAAGUCUUUGGUCCAGAGUCAUUAGAGUUUGAUGGUUUAGGCCGUGGUCCAUACACAGGGUUGGCUGAUGGGAGGGUGGUUAGAUGGAUGGGUGAAGCAAUCGGAUGGGAGACAUUUUCCGUUGCAACAUCAAAAUGGUAAAUGCUUAUGAUAAUAUACUCAUAAGUUUCUAGGUGUUAAUGUUGUGUGUUCAUGAGAAUUAGGUCAGAGAAGACAUGCGCAAGAGGUGUGGAUUCAACAACGAAUAAGCAAUGGAAGCACGAGAAGCUGUGUGGGCGACCUCUUGGUCUGAGAUUUGAUAAAGAGAGUGGAAACUUGUUCAUUGCAGACGCUUACUAUGGUCUACUUGUGGUUGGUCCUGAAGGAGGAGUGGCUACGCCUUUAGCUACUCAUGUGGAAGGCAAGCCUAUACUCUUUGCCAACGAUCUUGACAUCCAUAGAAAUGGCUCGAUCUUCUUUACCGACACAAGCAAAAGAUAUGACAGAGCGUAAGUUUUCAUAAUAAAUCUGUUUCAUGUGUGUUUGGGUUGAUAUAAAGUGUUAAAAACUGUGUGUUUGUAGGAAUCAUUUCUUCAUAUUACUUGAAGGAGAAUCAACAGGAAGGCUUCUAAGAUAUGACCCACCUACCAAAACAACACACGUUGUGCUUGAUGGUUUGGCUUUUCCCAAUGGCAUUCAACUCUCUAAAGACCAAUCUUUCCUUCUCUUCACAGAAACUACCAAUUGCAGGUAUAACCAUAUUAACAACCUUUUAAAACUCAAGCAAGAUAGAUGCCAAAAUACAUGUUUCUGUAUGCAUCUGGCAGGUUAGUGAAGUACUGGCUGGAGGGUUCAAAGAGAGGUGAAGUUGAGGUGGUGGCAGAUCUACCGGGAUUCCCAGACAAUGUGAGAAUGAACGAGAAGGGUGAGUUUUGGGUUGCAAUAGACUGUUGCAGAACACCAGUUCAAGAGGUUCUUACAAACAAUCCUUGGAUAAAGGUACUGGCUGGAGGGUUCAAAGACGGGUGAAGUUGAGGUGGUGGCAGAUCUACCGGGAUUCCCAGACAAUGUGAGAAUGAACGAGAAGGGUGAGUUUUGGGUUGCAAUAGACUGUUGCAGAACACCGGUUCAAGAGGUUCUUGCAAACAAUCCUUGGAUAAAGAGCAUCUACUUUCGGUUGCCUAUACCGAUGAAGCUGCUGGCGACAGCCAUGGGGAUGAAAAUGUACACUGUGAUAUCGAGAUUCGAUGAGGAUGGUAAGGUCUUGGAGGUUCUUGAGGAUAGACAAGGGAAGGUAAUGAAGCUUGUGAGCGAAGUGAGAGAGGUUCAAGGGAAGCUUUGGAUUGGAACAGUGGCUCAUAACCAUAUUGCCACUUUGCCUUAUCCUCUAGCAGUGAAUUAGUGAGCAACAACUUUGAUGUGUAGUUCUUAGCUUCUGGAAGGAUAAAGAUAAUUAUAGAUAUAAUAUGAUGAUUAGACUAAACCAUCUACCUGUAACUAAACUAUCUUUGUUUCGUCAUUGAAGAGUGUCGAUAGAGUACGAUGUCGAUAUAACAAAUGGAAAAUGUAUUACUAACAAAUAAUAAUAUCUAAGUCACAUAAUUUGUACAGCCUAGUUCAUGAGACACAGGUAGAAGUCCCUUGGGUCGUUGUCUGGUUCCGGACCAAAGAAGCUCAUUGCGACAUCAUCACUCGGUAACACUUUCUCUUACAGCCAAUAUGUAACAUAACAGUAGCUAAACUCAGUACGUUGGUGCAUCUACAAAUGAGUAGAAGAAGACAGAUUACAAUUUGAUCAGAUGCCAAAAGAGCGAGGAGAGUGAUUAUUACCAGUUGAGAUUAUGAGCGAAUGUGGAGCUAAGUCUCAAGGCCCUUGUCCAGUCGAAGCAUUUGAUGGCAGUUGCUGCCGUUGCUGAAUCUGUUGAAGAAGGUUAGCCGCAAGCUGUAGAGUCGACUGAUAUUGCUGGCUCUUGUCGACCUCACCAUCUGAUGUACCUUGACCAGCCGCAAGCUGUGGCUGCUGUUGUGUUGGUGGUGGCAUCGCAAUUUGAGAAUGGGAAGGAUUUUCGUUAUAGGCUUGAUUAUUCACGACAUUCUCUUUCCUAUUUUUCUAAUUUAUUUCUUUAUUUUAAAAGUGAAAAACUCCCUAAUAUACUUCCAUUGGAAGUGUUCUAAGAGCAUCUCAAUCUCUAUUCCAUUUUUUUCUCUAAAAUGAAGUAAAAGUGAAUACGAAGUAAGAAAUGCUCUAAUCCAACUCCAUAUCUCACUCCAUAAUGAAAUUUACUCCAUAAAUAGAGUAAUCUAUUUUUUUUUGUUCAUCACUCCAUCAUGGAAUGGGAAAUGUAGCAGGGUUGAAGCAAUUUUACUUUAUUUCCACUUUUACUCCAUUUUGGAGGAAAAAAUGAAGUUUUACGUUAGAGAUACUCUAAAAAAAUAAUCGGUUGUAAAGUACUUAAUUCAUUACUGGUUGUAUAUUAUUAUUGGUCAUCAUUGGUUAAGUGGUUCAUAAGUAUGGAUUAGUGGUGAGAGUUAGGUCAUCCUAAAACCAAACAUUGCAUUACAUAGGAAUAACCAUUUUAUAACUUUCGAACGAAAAUGUAAAACACACACGCGAAAAGGACACUCCAUGUUCCCCUACUUCGUCUGUACGAGACUUUUCCAUUCGAUUCGUCUAUGGUCUGGUCUUGUUUGCUUGUUCUUAAUAAGAUUUAUAGCUGGACUUAAAAAUUGAUGGUAACUGGCCCAUACAUCGGCCCAUUAACUUAAAACUGGGUUCUGGUUUUCGAUUCGGUGAAAGAAGAAACCUUUCCUUCUGAGAAAAUCAGGAACUCGUUAGCGCGAACUCGAAGAAUCGAAUCGAAUCGAAUCGACAAAAGAAGAGAUCUUUCGUUAUCCUUCUGGAGAAUACUCGCAGAUUCUCACUUGGGUCGGCACGUUUAGCUGAAAAGGUCCCACCUUUCGUCUCAAUCCGUUUUUUUUGUCCUCUCUCAGAUCUUGCAGUGUCGGUUACAAUGGGAAGACCCUUACUUUACGACAUCAUCGAGAAGCCCGCAACGAGCUGCAUCGUAACCCUAUGCAGCUUAAUCUGGUUCCUGAUCCAGAAGAAGAGUAUUGGCUACUCGCAAGUUGGGUUAAGCUACGAGACUGCGAUCCAAGGGCAUUACUGGAGGAUCAUCACCUCUGCUUUCUCUCACAUCAGCGUCUUGCAUCUCGUCUUCAACAUGAGUGCUCUCUGGAGUCUCGGCGUUGUUGAACAGUUAAAGCAUUUAAGUCUCGGAACUGCUUACUAUCUUCACUACACUCUUGUCCUUGUAGUCUUCUCCGGUGCUUUGGUGAUUGGGAUGUACCAUUUGCUGAUUGGUAGGUUCAAGAUUGAGUAUUUCAGGAGGGUUACUGCCGUGGGGUACUCUUGCGUUGUGUUUGGUUGGAUGACGAUUUUGUCUGUGAAGCAGCCUUCUUCGAAGCUUGAUCUUUUUGGGGUCUUGUCUCUUCCCAUUAGCUUUGCGCCCUUUGAGUCGCUUAUUUUCACUUCUAUUAUUGUUCCGCAAGCUAGCUUUCUGGGACAUUUGUCGGGGAUUCUUGUUGGUUACGCUGUUUCGUGGGGUUUGAUUGGUGGGAUGAACAGCUACUGGGCUGUUACCAUGCUUGGUUGGAUCGUUGUGGUGUUUGUCUUCAGUUUGAAGAAGUCUGGUGCUUAUGAUUUCAGUUUUCUGGAGAUUGAGUCGGUUAGUGAUGCUUCUUUGCCUUCGCUGCGGUUUGUUGGAAACGGACGGACCUUGCAAGCCAGUGCAGUUCCUCUUAGUGGAGUGGAAGUUCUAUGAGCUAGAUGAAGACAGACUGAGAGUUGGUAACCAAGUUAAAAGAUCCUUUAAGCUUUGCGUGAGCUGCUUCCUGUAUUAAUCAAUUUUAGUGUUGUUUUAAGCAUCAUUACAGAUGAAUAGGACAGUCUUAUGUUUGAUGUAUAGUUGCAAAAAAGGGUCCCCUGUCUUACCUUAAGAUUACAUCCACUAGACCUUCACAUUUUAUUUAAUUAUGAAGUCAUUGCUACCAAACAUUCUUGUUGUUUCUUUGAUAUAUUGUAUAUGUUUUUAUCAUUUGCAUUCUUGCAAUUUUAACAAGGUAAUUAGAUGAAGUUUUGUGCAAUUCUCUUUGAUUAGAGCAGUGUCUUCUCUUGUAACUUGUUUCCAUCUUGUUGGAUGAUUUACAGGUCAACUAGAGUCAUGGCAAUUGCAUUUGUUUAUCAGAGUAAUCUAACAUGGAUCCACUUUUGACUAGUUUUGUUCAUUACCGUUUAACCUACUUCCAACCCAAUUUUCAUUCACAUGAUCUGCAUUAUUACCCCUACCUCCUCCACAACCACAUUUUCUCUAUAUUUAUUAUAUAAGCUGUACACUGAUCAGGUGAAUAUAAUCUUACUUUCUCAUCCAUCUCUAAGAAACUUCAAAUGGAGAAGAAAGGCCAGAAUGGUACACAUGACUCCUUGCUGACUCAUUACCCGGUUCUCUGUAUCAUUGCCUUGUCUAUAAUUUUCAUAGCGAUUGACCCCUUUCACAUAAGUCCAGUGGGUGGUCGUGAGUUCAAACCCGUGAAGCAUGAGGUUGCUCCAUACAAGCAAGUCAUGGAUAACUGGCCAAGAGACAACCUUAGUCAACUGGGUCAUCAUGGGAAGCUCGAGUUUGUGGACCAAGUCUUUGGUCCAGAGUCAUUAGAGUUUGAUGGUUUAGGCCGUGGUCCAUACACAGGAUUAGCUGAUGGAAGAGUGGUUAGAUGGAUGGGUGAAGCAAUAGGGUGGGAGACAUUCUCCGUUGUAACAUCAAAAUGGUAAACGCUUACUCAUCAGUUUCAUGAUUGUUUCAUUCAGUUUCUAGGUGUUAAUGUUGUGUGUUCAUGAGAAUCAGGUCAGAGAAGAUUUGCGCAAGAGGUGUGGAUUCAACAACGAACAAGCAAUGGAAGCACGAGAAGCUGUGUGGGCGACCUCUUGGUCUGAGAUUUGAUAAAGAGAGUGGAAACUUGUUCAUUGCAGACGCUUACUAUGGUCUACUUGUGGUUGGUCCUGAAGGAGGAGUUGCUACGCCUUUAGCUACUCAUGUGGAAGGGAAGCCUAUACUCUUUGCCAACGAUCUUGACAUCCAUAGAAAUGGCUCAAUCUUCUUUACCGACACAAGCAAAAGAUAUGACAGAGCGUAAGUUUUUGUAAUAACAACAACAAAAAAAACUCUGUUUCUUUGCGUUGUGGGAUAUAAAGAGUUAGGGCUUUGUAUUUUGUAGGAAUCAUUUCUUCAUAUUACUUGAAGGAGAAUCAACAGGAAGGCUUCUAAGAUAUGACCCACCUACCAAAGAAACACACAUUGUGCUGGAUGGCUUGGCUUUUCCCAAUGGCAUUCAACUCUCUAAAGACCAAUCUUUCCUUCUCUUCACAGAAACAACUAAUUGCAGGUAUAGCCAUAUAAACAACUCUUAAAACUCAAGCAAAAGAUAGAGUUCAAAGUCAUGGAUGUAGACUCAAUGUUUCUUUAUGUAUCUGACAGGUUAGUGAAGUACUGGCUGGAGGGUUCAAAGACGGGUGAAGUUGAGGUGGUGGCAGAUCUACCGGGAUUCCCAGACAAUGUGAGAAUGAACGAGAAGGGUGAGUUUUGGGUUGCAAUAGACUGUUGCAGAACACCGGUUCAAGAGGUUCUUGCAAACAAUCCUUGGAUAAAGAGCAUCUACUUUCGGUUGCCUAUACCGAUGAAGCUGCUGGCGACAGCCAUGGGGAUGAAAAUGUACACUGUCAUAUCAAGAUUCAAUGAGGACGGCAAGGUCUUGGAGGUUCUUGAGGAUAGACAAGGAAAGGUAAUGAAGCUUGUGAGUGAAGUGAGGGAGGUUCAAGGGAAGCUUUGGAUUGGGACAGUGGCUCAUAACCAUAUUGCCACUUUGCCUUAUCCUUUAGCAGUGAAUUAAUGAACACCAACUUUGUUUGAUGUGUAGUUCUUAGCUUCUGGAAGGAUAAAGAUAAUUAUAUAUAUAAUGUGAUGAUUAGACUAAACCAUCUUCCUGUAACUAAACUAUCUUUGUUUUGUCAUUGAAGAGUGUCGAUAUAACAAUGGAAAAUGUAUUACUAACAAAUAAUAAUCUAAGUCACAUCAUUUGUACAGCCUAGUUCAUGAGACACAGGUAGAAGUCCCUUGUGUCGUUGUCUGGUUCCGGACCAAAGAAGCGCAUUGCGACAUCAUCACUAGGCAACACUUUCUCUUACAGCCAAUAUUUAACAUAACAGUAGCUAAACUCAGUUUGUUGUGCAUCUACAAAAGAGUGGAAGAAGACAGAUUACACUCUGAUAUGCCAAAAGAGCAAGGAGAGUGAAAAUUACCAAUAGAGACUAUGAGGGCAUGUGGAGAUAAGUCUCAAGGCCCUUGUCCAGUCGAAGCAUUCGAUGGCAGUUGCUGCCGUUGCUGAAUCUGUUGAAGAAGGUUAGCUGCAAGCUGUAGAGUCGACUGAUAUUGCUGGCUCUUGUCGUCCUCACCAUCUGAUGUACCUUGACCAGCCGCAAGCUGUGGCUGCUGUUGUGUUGGUGGUGGCAUCGCAAUUUGAGAAUGGGAAGGAUUUUCGUUAUAAGCUUGAUUAUUUGUCAGACCGUGAUAGUUACCUUGCUGAUAACCCUGAUAACAAAGCAAACCAGGGUUCGUAGCUCCAGGGACCGAUACGUAGUUUUGGUUAAGCAUGGGAGUUUCAUGCUGAUACUGAGCUUGAUGUGAACCUUGAGAGUACAUGGAGUAAUUAUCCGAUGGUGGUGGAGGUAACGCCGCCUGGUAUUGCAUACCACCUUGUACCAUUCCACCGGAGUAGCUCGGUGUGCUUGACACUGGAGGAUAGUGCACCGGAGGAGGAGGCAGUUGCCCCACCGGAUUGUACUGAUUGCCUAAUUGUUGAAACGAUAGAUUUGAUGGGUCAGAAACCGUUGAUUGAUCUCUAUUCCAGGCUUGUGAUGGAGCUUCUCCAUUGGAUAAUCCAACGGCUUGGUGACUUUCUGGUUGAGAAUUUGUUGGGAGCAAGGAGGCAAGAGUGGCUAUUAGCUCAGGCGUUAGACUAACCCCAGCUUGAGGCGUUACAGUGUUAUGUACAGCAACAGGCUCCCUAAAAGGAAGAGGCUUCAUUGCUUCCUUCAUACCCCAGGCUUGAUCUUCCCUAGCAGCGUACAAACCGUGAUUGGCACUGGCAGGCGAAUCUCGAGAUUGAUCCAGAUAGUGUGGAGGAACAGUAUGAGAUUCUUGUCUAUACGAUAAAGCUGCAGGAACAGGUGGUGGAGGCAAUUUGAGGACAACACCGUAUAGCCUUUCUCGACCGGAUACUUUGAGCACAUCAGUUAAGAAAUCUGAUGGUGGAACCAAGAAUAAAGUGGUUCCAUCAUCUAAUUUGGCAACACCUGCUCUAUUGUUUGAACCAAGAUAUUGGAGAAAUUCAGUAUAAGACGCGAAGUCGUCUUCGCUGUCUGGUAAGAAGAAAACGAUUUCAAAUCCAAUUGCUUCGGUAUAGUGUUUGGCAAGCAUAUCCAAACCCGUUCGUGCUGAACAGUUGACCAUCUCAGGGCUAUUAACCAUUCCAAAAACCGAUAAUCAGUAAAUCCAUUCGGUACUUGUUAUCAAUGAAUCGAAUCAAACACUAUGCAGAAUCCAUUUUCAGAUCACAACAUCUAAAAGAAUCAACGGAUAAGAUAACUUCUAAUCUAUGAACUAAAACUUAUCCUACAUAAGUGAAGGCAGAAAAGACUAAAGUGCAUGAAAUUUUUUACUCACAGUUCAGAUUCAAUCCCCUUUCCAAUAGGUACACAACGAGCAUGACAAACAGGAGUUCCACCUUUGGCUAUGACUCCUCUCCAAAUGAAAUCAGUAUCAGGGAAACCACGGCCUGGUCUACGUCGAUAUGUCAUAUCCAACCCAGUGAUACGGUCUUCUACACCCAUCGGAGGAAAAGCAUCUACAGAUCCAUCUCUACGACUUCUUUUAGGUUCUCUAUCCAACUGAGCAGCAUCAUAUCCUUCCCAAGAACCACGGUUUGACCGAAUGGGUAGCAUUCUACUUGGUGCGGGAGACGGGAGUAUUCCAGCUCCAGUAGGAGAUGGCCUUCUCCAGCUUCCUUCGUUGCCAACCACAUCGCCAUAUUCUGGACCAAAACGUUCCAUGCUACCUCGGAAGGGCCUCCCAGGGUCAAGAACCACACUGGAAUGUGGUGACGAUAUGUACGGAGGAUCAUUGAUGAACAUAUCAGGUCUUGGUCGUUUGACACCAGAGUAAACAUCGGUAUCAUCUCCCCGUCCAGGGGGGGCGUUAUCGUUUUGGUACAUGAUUGUGAUUCUUGGAUCGUUGAAUAACCUUCCCUGUAGUCCUUCCUUAGCACAGCGAGCUUCCUCAAUGCUUCUAAAUUCCACAAGUGAGAAAUGCCUUGAUGGAUAGCUAAUACAUCUCUCAAUCUCACCAAAAAGAAUCAUGGAAUUGUGCAGCAGUCGUUCGUCUAUCUGAACAGAAGGAGGGUACCCAAUCCACAGAACGUUGCUUGCUUGGCCAUCUCCAGAUGAGUGAGUAUACUGUUGUUAAGCAUAUAAAAAUUUGAACUCAGGAACCUGGCAAGCCGAAAGCUUUCUAAACUAUAAACAUGAAAGCCGAUAAAGGAUUGCACAUAUCACCAGUAAAAGGCUAACCUGGUGCUUAGCACUCAAACUGCCAUCCCUGCCAUCUUCGGAGCCAAGCCGUGGUUCCUACAGAGAUAAGAAUGUUAUGUAAUUUCAGAGUCAUUUAGCAGAUUCUACAACAUAGAUAUGAAAAAGUAAACGCAGAAGAAAUAAAAAUGGAAACACGUGACACAAGUAGAUAUAGAAAGCUUCUAGCCAUGGCAGUCUUAUACAAAUCAUGAAACCUAACACACUCAGUAGAAGCUUCUUACAAAAUGAUUACUGAAACUUAUUUUAAUGUGAAAAAAAGAAAGACGAGAGGACGCUUACUUUUCUUGGCCCUUGUGACCGAAGAAAAUCAACUCGCAAAAAGCUACCACCUAGUCGCUUCCCGUUCAUGGUCUUUGCCUGUACAGCAUCGUCCACGUCAAAAUAGUCAAUAAAAGCCGUCUUGCGAUCCUUAAGAAACCUGAAACUUUCGAUUUCCCCAAAUUUCCUGAACUCUGCCUCGAGUACAUCCUUCGGGACACUCGAGCUGAUUCCACCAACCCAAAGACUCUUACAAGGUUUUGCCUGCACACAAAUAAUUUCCAUAAGAAGCCAAUAAAAUACAUCUUUAACAACAUCCAGAAUUGGCUUUCCUGGUUGUCAUGAAGAGAACCCUUUUAAACACAUAAAUCACUACAAAACAAAAUCAGUUACUAAUUCAAAGAUUGUAAUAAAAUUUCACAUUUAAUGGCUACCAUAAUAAACACACAGCAUGACUUGAGGAGAAUCAUUUCCAUAAAUAGAAGAGAACUAUGUCCUCUCCAAAGUCAACAAAAAAACAAAAAAUCCUCGUGCUGAUCAUAUUUCAAAUUUGGGCACAUUACUAAAAUAAACCAACCCCUUGGACCCACUAAGAUGAGCAGAAAGCAAAAGAUGCUGGCAAGUCUACGAUAACAAAUAAAAAAACUCCCACCAUGUUGGUAGCGUUACUGUUACAUCUCUGAUGGCUAGAGGAACUAGAAACAUUUUGCACAAUCUGAAAACUCUGGGAUUCACCAAGUCUAAUCCGAAGGAUUAAGAUACUAAUUACGUUUCAGAAACUUGAACGCAUUUAAAGUUCAUAAUCAAUCUUUAUGAGAUUAAGCAUUAUAGCAAAACUGUUGUCCGGAACAAAUCACAUACAGUAAGUGGAGUCGAAGCAAUCAUUUGUGGGAACAAAUCAAGCAUACGUGGCAAUCAUGAUCUGUGAAAUUCCCGAUCUAACCAUCAACAAGAGACUACCAGAGAUGAGAACGAACCGGUCGUGCGAAUUCGAUCUUAAUGCGACUCCCGUUCAGAUUGGCGCCUUGAAGAGCCUCCUUGGCCGCAACGGCUUCCUCAACGCGCCUGUAGUAGAUAAAGGCGAAGCAGCGGGAAGAAUACGCGGUGAGCCUGUCGAUUUCGCCGAACCUUCCGAACAGAUCGGCGAGAUCGGAUUCGGUAGUAUCGGGGGUCAGACUGCCGACCCAGAGAUUGGUGGAUUGGAAUCCAGAUCCGUCNNNNNNNNNNNNNNNNNNNNNNNNNNNNNNNNNNNNNNNNNNNNNNNNNNNNNNNNNNNNNNNNNNNNNNNNNNNNNNNNNNNNNNNNNNNNNNNNNNNNNNNNNNNNNNNNNNNNNNNNNNNNNNNNNNNNNNNNNNNNNNNNNNNNNNNNNNNNNNNNNNNNNNNNNNNNNNNNNNNNNNNNNNNNNNNNNNNNNNNNAGGGAAGAGAUUAAUUAAUUUACCUGGAGGAAGAGACUGCUUAAGCUUAUCAGCCUUCUCUUGGUCGAAGACGCAAAGUGUGUAGAGGUACCUCGAGCACCUGACCUUGAACUUGACAAUAUCCUUACUUCUCUUGAUCUUCACUGACCUCGCAUCCUUCCUCCUCGCCGUCAGAAGGAAGUCCUUGAUCUCGUGGAUUUGCUUAGGCUACACACAUAUCAAACCACCAUUUUCAUUCAAUACAAACUAAAAUUACUAGAAACCAAACAGGAAACCGCACAAUAAUAUUAUUACAAGACAACCUAGGAAACAGCGAUGAUAUAAAAGACUAAUACAACAGUCUACUGUAAGAACGAUAAGAAGAGAAAGUACCAUUCUCGCUUCUUCUGAUGUUGUCGCUGCAACUUAAAGAACACAGUGUCGGAGAAGAAAUACAAAGACUGCUCUAAAUAUUUUCUUUAAGAAGCGAAACCCUAGAUGUGUCGCGUAUUCGAAUUUCCAAAUAUACCCCUUAAGCCCAUUAAUCCGUAAAUUUCGCUACUGGGCCCAAAUUAAUAUCCUUAUUUCCUUUUAGAUACCUUUAUUAUAGUUUAAUUACUCUUUUAACCCCAAGUGUUUUGUUCCCAUAUGAUUUUCAACAUCGCGCCACUAAAUAUAUAUUUUCCCGCGCCACUGAAACCUCUUCAACUUCUUCUCCAAAAUCAAAUAAAAACCCUAACCUCUCUCUGUUCCUCCCUUUACAUCGCUUCUCUCUUACUUGAUUCUUAGUUUGAUUUCGAGGGAAAAUUAAAUUAAAAAAGAAGAAGAUGUUUUAUUCGCAUGUUUACUUGGCUCGGAAGGGUCCUCUGGGAACGGUUUGGGCCGCCGCGCACUUGCAACAACGCCUCAAGAAGUCUCACUACACCGCCACCAACAUCCCCAAAACUGUUGCAAUUUUGUUAAAAUACAUUUCAUGUAUGUUUUCCAAAAAUUAUAUGGACAAAGAAGUUAACAAACCUUACAAGAAUAAGGUAAAUCAUGCAAACUUAUGAAAUGGUAUAAAAACUGCAAAAAAAAAAACAAAAAAUUAUCACAAAUAAAAGGAACCUAUCUAAAUCCUUACCAAUUUGGCCAGCUAAUUGUUUUUUUCAUAUGGAAUAUCGAAUGGAAUAUUUCAAUUUCAGAAUCUGAAUAGUUGUACUAGUUAUAUCAGUAUCACUAGUCUGGUAAAUAAGACAUAGUUGGACUAGUUAUACUAGUAUCACCUGUAUUGUUUGAUACAUAUGCAAAAGUUGUAUCAGUUGUACCAUAGCCAAAAACGAUUUAUUCUAUAAUAUCAUGCUUCAUACUUUAACAACAUUAUAUUAAAUCUUAGAAUCUUACUCAUAACGUUAAUAUACAUAUUAUGUGACUAAACUGAAACAUAAAACAUUAGAAAAAUAAAAAAGAUAGAGAAGAGUGAGAGAAAAAGAGAGGGAGAGAGUAUACACUUACCAAACGAUUUUAGAACCAAAGACGAUGCACAUGUGCUGUUUCAGGGCAUCAUAAGCUGUAGAAAGACCUUAAGAAACAUAUGUAAAGGUUUGUGGACGAAGAGUUGAAGAAGAGAGCUUUGGUUGGUGAAUGUAAUGAAUUUUCAUGGUGGUUAAUUGAAUAUGGUUGAGGGUGAAAUGAAGAAGAAGAAGAAGAGUGAUUAAAGUUUAUGUGGAACCCAGCCGAGAGAGAAGAAGCUAGAUGGUGAAAUCCAAUGGCUAAGAUUAAAACAUACUCAUAUGAUCCAAUGGCUAAGGAAUAAGAUUCAUUAAUGGCAUUGUUGUAAAUAUUUUAUCCUUAAAAAUCCGACGGUUCAGAUUAUAACGUGAAUGAUUUUGAUCUAAUGGUUGAUAUUGAACUUUCAUUAAGGGUAAAAUCAUAAUUUACACUCACUUGUCCCAUAAGAGAUUAGUUUUGGUGGUUGUAGAUUUUUUUUUGGUCCUUUGUCCCAUAAGAGAUUAAAGUCCUCCAAAUGUCAGGUUUUGGAAACACAGUAACACACACCUUUUGUCAAAACAUAAAUAAAAAGGUAACACCAAACCAAGGCAAUAUUAAAAUAGCACAGACACACAAAAAAACGGUGGGUAUGCGUUACAGGCCAAAAUCAAUAAUCUACACUGUAAAGUGUAAACCAACAUUGGCAUUUGAAGAAGACAAAGAAGAGAGACGAUGGAAUCUAACGGAGACGGAAGAAAAUGAUGACGUAUUGCGCGACAGGUGCAAAUGGAUACGUCGGUUCUUGGUUGGUUAAGAGCAAGAGCAUCAGUAAACUCUCUUUUGGGGUUCAUUUUUUCAAUUUUUUAUUAUUAAAUUUUUUUCUUUUUUUUUUGAUUUAAAAAAAAAAAAAAAAUUAGACCAAGGCCGUCACGUGUCGUGGAACCCGCACUACAGUGAUGAACUUUAGGAAAAAGGGUUUUGCGCAGAAGAUGCGAGACGAACCGAGCUCAUCGGUUAUACUUAUUUUAAUAUUUUUUUUUUCUUCUGUGAACUUCCGCUGCGCAUGCUUUAAGUCUCUUCUCGGAAGAGGCUACACACUACAAGGAAACAUAACAUAUUCUAGUUCGCUCCUGCUGUGGCUGCUGUUGUGUUGGUGGUGGCAUCGCAAUUUGAGAAUGGGAAGGAUUUUCGUUAUAAGCUUGAUUAUUUGUCAGACCGUGAUAGUUACCUUGCUGAUAACCCUGAUAACCAAGCAAACCAGGGUUCGUAGCUCCAGGGACCGAUACGUAGUUUUGGUUAAGCAUGGGAGUUUCAUGCUGAUACUGAGCUUGAUGUGAACCUUGAGAGUACAUGGAGUAAUUAUCCGAUGGUGGUGGAGGUAACGCCGCCUGGUAUUGCAUACCACCUUGUACCAUUCCACCGGAGUAGCUCGGUGUGCUUGACACUGGAGGAUAGUGCACCGGAGGAGGAGGCAGUUGCCCCACCGGAUUGUACUGAUUGCCUAAUUGUUGAAACGAUAGAUUUGAUGGGUCAGAAACCGUUGAUUGAUCUCUAUUCCAGGCUUGUGAUGGAGCUUCUCCAUUGGAUAAUCCAACGGCUUGGUGACUUUCUGCUUGAGAAUUUGUUGGGAGCAAGGAGGCAAGAGUGGCUAUUAGCUCAGGCGUUAGACUAACCCCGGCUUGAGGCGUUGCAGUGUUAUGUACAGCAACAGGCUUCAUUGGUUCCUGUAUACCCCAGGCUUGAUCUUCCCUAGCAGCGUACAAACCGUGAUUGGCACUGGCAGGCGAAUCUCGAGACUGAUCCAUAUAGUGUGGAGGAACGGUAUGAGAUUCUUGUCUAUACGAUAAAGCUGCAGGAACCGGUGGUGGUGGCAAUUUGAGAACAACACCGUAUAGCCUCUCUCGACCGGAUACUUUGAGCACAUCAGUUAAGAAAUCUGAUGGUGGAACCAAGAAUAAAGUGGUUCCAUCAUCUAAUUUGGCAACACCUGCUCUAUUCUUUGAACCAAGAUAUUGGAGAAAUUCAGUAUAAGACGCGAAGUCGUCUUCGCUGUCUGGUAAGAAGAAAACGAUUUCAAAUCCAAUUGCUUCCGUAUAGUGUUUGGCAAGCAUAUCCAAACCCGUUCGUGCUGAACAAUUGACCAUCUCAGGGCUAUUAACCAAUUCCAAAAACCGAUAAUCAGUAAUCCAUUCGGUACUUGUUAUCAAUGAAUCGAAUCAAACACUAUGCAAAAUCCAUUUUCAGAUCACAACAUCUAAAAGAAUCAACAGAUAAGAUAACUUCUAAUCUAUGAACUAAAACUUAUCCUACAUAAGUGAAGGCAAAAAAAAAGGCUAAAGUGCAUGAAAAUGUUACUCACAGUUCAGAUUCAAUCCCCUUUCCAAUAGGUACACAACGAGCAUGACAAACAGGAGUUCCACCUUUGGCUAUGACUCCUCUCCAAAUGAAAUCAGUAUCAGGGAAACCACGGCCUGGUCUACGUCGAUAUGUCCUAUCCAACCCAGUGAUACGAUCAUCUACACCCAUCGGAGGAAAAGCAUCUACAGAUCCAUCUCUACGAGUUCUUUUAGGUUCUCUAUCCAACUGAGCAGGAUCAUAUCCUUCCCAAGAACCACGGUUUGACCGAAUGGGUAACCUUCUACUUGGUGCGGGAGACGGGAGUAUUCCAGCUCCACUAGGAGAUGACCUUCUCCAGCUUCCUUCGUUGCCAACCACAUCGCCAUAUUCUGGACCAAAACGUUCCAUGCUACCUCGGAAGGGCCUCACAGGGUCAAGAACCACACUGGAAUGUGGUGACGAUAUGUACGGAGGAUCACUGAUGAACAUCUCAGGCCUUGACCGUUUAACACCAGAAUAAAAACCGGUAUCAUCUCCCCGUCCAGGGGGAAUGUUAUCGUUUUGGUACAUGAUUGUGAUUCUUGGAUCGUUGAAUAACCUUCCCUGUAGUCCUUCCUUAGCACAGCGAGCUUCCUCAAUGCUUCUAAAUUCCACAAGUGAGAAAUGCCUUGAUGGAUAGCUAACACAUCUCUCAAUCUCACCAAAAAGAAUCAUGGAAUUGUGCAGCAGUCGUUCGUCUAUCUGAACAGAAGGAGGGUACCCAAUCCACAGAACGUUACUUGCUUGGCCAUCUCCAGAUGAGUGAGUAUACUGUUGUUAAGCAUAUAAAAAUUUGAACUCAGGAACCUGGCAAGCCGAAAGCUUUCUAAACUAUAAACAUGAAAGCCGAUAAAGGCUAACCUGGUGCUUAGCACUCAAACUGCCAUCCCUGCCAUCUUCGGAUCCAAGCCGUGGUUCCUACAGAGAUAAGAAUGUCACGUAAUUUCAGAGUCAUUAAACAGAUUCUACAACAUAGAUAUGAAAAAGAUAAACGCAGAAGAAAUAAAAAUGGAAACACGUGACACAGGUAGAUAUAGAAAGCUUCUAGUCAUGGCAGUCUUAUACAAAUCAUGAAACCUAACGCAUUCAGUAGAAGCUUCUAACAAAAUGAUUACUGAAGCUUAUUCUAAUGUAAAAGCAAAAAAAAAAAAACGACAAGAGGCUGCUUACUUUUCUUGGCCCUUGUGACCGAAGAAAAUCAACUCGCAAAAAGCUACCACCUAGUCGCUUCCCGUUCAUGGUCUUUGCCUGUACAGCAUCGUCCACGUCAAAAUAGUCAAUAAAAGCCGUCUUGCGAUCCUUAAGAAACCUGAAACUUUCGAUUUCCCCAAACUUCCUGAACUCUGCCUCGAGUACAUCCUUCGGGACACUCGAGCUGAUUCCACCCACCCAAAGACUCUUACAAGGUUUUGCCUGCACACAAAUAAUUUCCAUAAGAAGCCAAUAAAAUACAUCUUAACAACAUCCAGAAUUGGCUUUCCUGGUUGUCAUGAAGAGAACCUUUUUAAACACACAUAAAUCACUACAAAACAAAAUCGGUUACUAAUUCAUAGAUUGUAGUAAUAAAUUCCCAUUUAAUUAUUCCCAUAAACACACAACAUGACUUGAGGAGAAUCAUUUCCAUAAAUAGAAGAGAACUAUGUCCUCUGUGUUGAUCAUAUUUUAAAUUUGGCACAUUACUAAAUAAACCAACCCCUUGGACCCCACUAAGAUGAGCAGAAAGCAAAAGAUGCUGGCAAGUCUUUCAUGGUCUACGAUAACCAAAAAAAAACUCCCACCAUGUUGGUAGCGUUACUGUUACAAAUCUCUGAUGGCUAGAGGAACUACAAAGAUCACAUCCAAAUUUACAUCUCAAACACGAGAAACAUUUUGCAGAAUCUGAAAACUCUGGGAUUCACCAAGUCUAAUCCGAAGGAUUAAGAUACUAAUUACGUUUCAGAAACUUGAACGCAUUUGAAGUUCAUAAUCAAUCUUUAUGAGAUUAAGCAUUAUAGCAAAACUGUUAUCCAUAAGAAGAAGCAAUCAUUUGUGGAUCCACAAAUCAAGCAUACGUGGCACUCAUGAUCUGUGAAAUUCCCGAUCUAACCACUAACAAGAGACUGUAGAGAUGAGAACGAACCGGUCGUGCGAAUUCGAUUUUAAUGCGACUCCCGUUCAAAUUGGCGCCUUGAAGAGCUUCCUUUGCAGCUACGGCUUCCUCAACGCGCCUGUAGUAGAUAAAGGCGAAGCAGCGGGAAGAAUACGCGGUGAGCCUGUCGAUAUCGCCGAACCUUCCGAACAGAUCGGCGAGAUCGGAUUCGGUAGUAUCGGGGGUCAGACUGCCGACCCAGAGAUUGGUGGAUUGGAAUCCAGAUCCGUCGGGUUCACGGCCUCUUGAAGGCUUCAUUACUGGUGCCAUCGCUGGUUUUGAGCACGAGACGGGAAGAUUAACACACGAAGGUCCAGUGAUGAAGAAGCGUUGGAAGGUUGAAGAAAUGAAUAUGAAACGACAGCGUUUUGAUGGAACCUGGAGGAAGAGACUGCUUAAGCUUAUCAGCCUUCUCUUGGUCGAAGACGCAAAGUGUGUAGAGGUACCUCGAGCACCUGACCUUGAACUUGACAAUAUCCUUACUUCUCUUGAUCUUCACUGACCUCGCAUCCUUCCUCCUCGCCGUCAGAAGGAAGUCCUUGAUCUCGUGGAUUUGCUUAGGCUACACACAUAUCAAACCACCAUUUUCAUUCAAUACAAACUAAAAUUACUAGAAACCAAACAGGAAACCGCACAAUAAUAUUAUUACAAGACAACCUAGGAAACAGCGAUGAUAUAAAAGGCUAAUACAACAGUCUACUGUAAUAACGAUAAGAACAUAAAGUACCAUUCUCGCUUCUUCUGAUGUUGUCGCUGCAACUUAGAGAACACAGUGUCGGAGAAGAAAUACAAAGUCUGCUCUAAAUAUUUUCUUUAAGAAGCGAAACCCUAGAUGUGCCGCGUGUUCGAAUUUCCAAAUAUACCCCUUAAGCCCAUUAAUCCGUAAAUUUCGCUACUGGGCCCAAAUUAAUAUCCUUAUUUCCUUUUAGAUACCUUUAUUAUAGUUUAAUUACUCUUUUAACCCCAAGUGUUUUGUUCCCAUAUGAUUUUCAACAUCGCGCCACUAAAUAUAUAUUUUCCCGCGCCACUGAAACCUCUUCAACUUCUUCUCCAAAAUCAAAUAAAAACCCUAACCUCUCUCUGUUCCUCCCUUUACAUCGCUUCUCUCUUACUUGAUUCUUAGUUUGAUUUCGAGGGAAAAUUAAAUUAAAAAAGAAGAAGAUGUUUUAUUCGCAUGUUUACUUGGCUCGGAAGGGUCCUCUGGGAACGGUUUGGGCCGCCGCGCACUUGCAACAACGCCUCAAGAAGUCUCACUACACCGCCACCAACAUCCCCAAAACUGUUGGUUCGUGUUUCUUACCCAUAAAGUUCGCUCCUUUAAUUGCCCCCUUCACUGCUUCUCUGUAAAAGUUUCAGACUUUUCGAUAAAAGCAGAGGAUUGUUGAUUAAUUUUGUUUUUUUUUUUAAUUGCAGAUCUUAUAAUGUUCCCGGAGGCACCUUUGGCAUUGAGAUUGUCGGGUCAUCUUUUACUUGGUGUUGUCCGAAUCUAUUCAAAGCAAGUUGAUUAUCUGUUCCGUGACUGUGCUCUCGUCACUUCUUGGUUAUCCAAGUCUUUUGUUUCUACUCAAGUUGAUUUGCCUGAGGAUGCUAGACAGGCUCCCGUUGAGUCUGUGACUUUGCCUCAAGCAUUGAACUUGGAUGACUUCCAAUUGGAUGAUGACACGCAAGAAGGGUACCCCCAUCUUCUUAUUUUUUUCACUUUCUAUUGAAGCUUGUUCUGUUUCAAAGAUCCCAUCUUUGGCUUUGGUAUUAAUACUUUUUUAUUAUCUUCUUGUGAUUAAUAGUGAAUAUGAUAAUCAUCUUAGGAGUCAGGAAGAUAUCACUCUCACAGGUACUUUUGUUUGACUGCUACUUAUUUAUUUGGUGUUAGAAUAAUUAGAGGUGUUUAUGAUGUUGAUGCUGAUUAUGCAGAUCAAAUCCCCACUGGUGUUGAUCCUUAUGUUGCUAUAACAUUCGAUGAUGUGAGUUUCCUACUUGCCUUCUUAUGAUUAUGAAGUUGAUUUUGAUUACUGGUUGUUGAAAGAAAGUUUUGUAUGUCUUUCUUACAGGACAUCAGUUCAGGACCUAGCCCAAUGGACGUUGAGUGAGUCUCUUUAUAAAUUUUUGAUUUCAUCUACUUAAUGUUCAAAAAGUCGGUAGGAGACAGUUAGGCUCUUUAUAUGUGAUUAUUGAUUAGGUGGGCACCUAAACUGAUUUUUUGAGGGUUGGUCUAGAAUUUUUUUUAUUUGUUUAUAUCUGAUAUGCCGACUAGACCUAUUUUUAGAACACUUGCAUCUACUACCCAUAUGUUCAAGGAUAUGCGUUUUUUAAUGUGGUUACCUCUUCUUUGUGAUAUGAGCAGCCAAGCUACAGAGCCUGUUAGUGCGCAUCCUGGUGAUACUGAUGUUGAAAUGACUUUUGAGACAGAAGUAAACAAUGAGCGAGGAGACUUCAAUGUUGGUCGUAACGACACAGAGGAAAUCCCUGAGUUCCAGGAUCCUAGACCGAGUAACUUGACGGAACCGCUUAAUCUCAGUCCAGAGAGAGGCAAUGCCAAUUCUCCUGGAAGUGUUCCUGAAGUUGAGAUAAGGCGUGAUGAUGCUGCUGCUCACGGUUUAAGCCCUGCGUCCCAUUUACCAUUCGCUACAGAACACACUGAACCUUUAGAUGAAACUAUGAACGAGAAGGAACCCAGUAUCCCUAACCUUGAUGAUGAAGUGUUGAGUUCUAGAGGACAGGCGUUUGAGCUUCGCUCAGGAUCUCCAGGCUUUGCUGGUUUUGAGGAAGAACGUGAUAAUUUUGGUGAGUGAACAUCAUAGUUUGAUAACUCUUUGCUUAUCUUAUCAUUUAUCUGAUAUAUGAUUUUGUUUUGAUGUUCAAGUCCAUCCAUCACCUCAACUAGCUCUUCAGCCAACUCCACCACCUCCUCCUCCUGCACAACAACCAAGGCCAAGGAAGAGGAAGCACUUUGAUAAGGUCACAGUAUUAACUAACAGGUAAUAAAUAACCUUUCUACUGGCUUCAUGUGACUUUGAUUAUUUCAUUAUACUGAUAAUAAAGUCUUUUGACAGGAUCAUGAAAGAGAGGCUUGAGGAUCCUAGUGAUAUUCUUCGUAAGAGAAAGAAGAUGCCUUCCUCUAAACUAAGUAUGUGGAGAAUGAAUAACCAGACAAAGAAGGAUCAAAUCUUCAGUGAGCCCUUGCUUACAGGUAAAUUUUCAAUGAUUCUUUCUUUUGUUUUCUAACGGUGUCAGCUUAUUUUGACUGUCUAUGACUAUCUGCAGGCUUUUCAGAUGGUUUACGCAGUGUCUUUGAUAAGGACUGUGUAUCUUCAAAGCCAAAUCUUGCUGUUCCUAAUGAAAGUGUUCCAGACCCUGCACCUGUAUCAUCUCCUACUCGUGAAGCUGAAGCAGAAGUUCGCCCUACCUCUUCAGUUCCUCAAUCUCCGAUUCCUGAUUCUACUCAUCCAGACACUACACUUCAGCAGUCUCCGGUUCGGCAAACUGAAGAUAUCCAAGACUCUGCAGGUCCUCAAUCCGCGCGUGGAGAGUCUGUACCAAGAGAAGCCCAAUCUCCACCGCCAUUUAAUGAUGAUGACACAGGAAUCGAACGCUUCAGAGAUGGUGGUUACACUGACUUCAUGCCGUCGCCACCUCCUAGGUUUUCACCUUCUAGUAGAACCGAUGACUUCACCACUCAGACUAGUAGAGCUUGGGAGACGGAAUCUUAUAGAACAGAGCCUUCAACUUCCGCAUAUCGAGAUGAUAUGCCUGGACUAAUGAACUCAGGGAUCUCAGCUAUUCCCGAAAUGGCAGACGAGGUUUGUCUCACGUUUUUUACAUGUUUUGUGUUUACCAUUCUUGGUUCUUUGCUAAUACCAUUUGCCUGUGUCAUUACAGGAGCUUUAUUUCCUGGAUGUAGGUGGCAACACUCCGGUGAGAUCACCAGCUUGUCAAGAUUCUGAUGCUUUGACAGGGAGAACAAGGUAUAAAGAUCCCAUAGUCCAUUUAGCUUUAAGAGCCGAAUGUUUCUCAACUAACAUGUAACACAUUCACUGAACAUUGCAGAGCCUUGGCUCAGUAUCUUAAAGAACGCUCUUCGAGUGGUCCCUCUUCAAGCUCUUCUUCAGGAGAUCUAAGUUUGGGAAAGAUCUUGGAGGGAAAGACAAGGAAGCUAGCUGCUCGAAUGUUCUUUGAGACACUGGUAAUAAAUUCCUCAAUACGGUUUCUUACUUCUUUUUUUUUAUGUCAGCAUUGCCUCUUUACUGAGACGAUUUGCUUUUGGAUUGCAGGUGUUGAAGUCUAGAGGACUUAUUGAUAUGCAACAGGAGCAACCUUACAGCGAUAUCACUCUGAAGUUGAUGCCUGGCCUUUUUUCAAAGGUUCAACAAUGAAUAAACAAUGCUCACUGGAUUUUAUUUAUUUGUAUAUUAGCAUAGAUUCUAGACAAGGAAGUGGUCAUCCUCAGUUUGUUGAUCCCAAGUUUGUAUGUUUGGAAGAAAUAAUUUUGUUACAUUAAAACGAAAAACGAAUUUCCUCAAAAAAAGUUGUCAAAAACGUUGUACGCAUACAUAGACUCGUGAAUCUUUAACUCUGCAAAAUCCGAAGACGACCUACCUGUUUUAAGCUUGUUCUUCUUUUAUAUAUAUUUAGCAUGACUAUUGUUUCUAUAAAGGAAACUAACAGUUAUUGGUGGAAUCUAUCUUAGUCAUCAUUCUUUAGUGGGCAGGACCAUGAGAUGAACUUCUUUGGCUGAAGUUCUCAUCAUGACUUUGAAUCUCUUCUGGGAUCUGGUUCUGCGUCGUGGUUUGAUUCUGUAUCUGGGACUGAGUGUGGUUCUUGAUCUUGAUUACCUGAUUCUGAUAAAAGCUAUGCAGUUAGAUAUGAGGAAAAGCAAGAUUACCAAAACGCAAUAAAGUUAGACUUGUGUGUGUUUUGUGUCAGUUUCAGUAAACAUGUCAAGCAACUAACCUUGUACAUGUAUUUUUCCACAACAGAAACAGGUGGAAGAGCUUAGAUGUUACAGAAACAUUUCAUCGAAAUAGAAUAAAUCUAGUGCCUUUGGAUGCAGUUAUAGUUUACGAAGUUUCAUGGCUGUGCGUAUGCAUCUUCUAACUCGAAUAGCAAGCAGCUUGUCAUUAAAAAUCUGCAAAUAUCUCAAACCAAUAAGAACAGUACAAAGUCCUCAACUACAAGCACUGCAAAGAAGAAGGCUCAAAGAUGCACAAUUGCAGUGGAAAAACAUCAUACCUUGAUCAUGUCAUCAAUGGACCGAGCUUCCUUCAUGAUCUUGUGCCUAUUCAUAAUCAAGAUCGCUGCCACACAAAAGACUGGAAGAGGAUCAUCUCCCUUUUCAAAGGAUGAAACAACAGAAGAAGAGACGUGUGUUCUUUCGUUCCUAGACCAUAAGUUUCUUGUCAAGCCACAGAAAUUAUAUGAAGAUGAUGCUGACUUCAUCUCAGUAUCGUUGUCGUCAGACAUAGGACCAGUCUUUGGCAAUGGACCACUUCUUGGCAGUAGACUGCUUAUGUACAACAGGCUGCUCUUUGACAAUGGUCCGCUCUUUGACAUUCUGUCGCUGCUCCUCGAAGUUGGUUCACUAGUUGUACUGUUCCUAUGUCCAUCAUCUAUCUUAGGGUCCCCUAUCUCAGCUUCUGAUUGUCUAGGAAGCUGAAUCACCAACGGCUCCAAGCAAUCAUUCUCCAGAGUUUCAGCAACAGAGGCAUUAAAAUCAGCAGCCCACAUCAUCUACAACAGAAGAAUACAUUUGCAAGAGUUUUGAAUCUUAUAAGUAAAGACAAUUAGAUCCAUGAUUCUCUCUUUGACCAAGCUCUUAUUAUCAUGAACAUAAUUAUCAUAGUUUCAACAGCUAAACCAAAUUCAAUAUAUGCAGUUAUGUGAAGAUGAACUUGUUCUACAGUUACACUAAAGAACCUAUUGCUUCCUUGGACUAUACACUAAAGAGGUAGAGAAUGAGCAAGAACAGAACAAACAAAAUAAGAAGUACCAACCUCCCACAUCCUUAGAGCCUCAUCAAAAGACAACUCCCUUCGGAACAACACUAACAGCAUCCGGAACGCAAAGUGAAGGCUUUCAGCACCAAUACGAGAUAUGUGAGAAAACAUUUCUUUAUCUGUCAGUUGCAAUAUAUGCCACAAUGUUUGCAAUUGAUCCAUCACUCCCGUUGGUCCUUCCAUCUGGAAAUUUGCACGCUGCAGUAAUAAAACCACAUGAGAGAACAUCAAGUUACAGCUAGGAAACAAACAUUUGUUACAUAUCAGGAAUCAUUAUAAUACCGUUCUUCUUAUGAGCAUCUCAAAGCACCAAAAAGCGUCAGCAUUAUCUUCAAAAAGAACCACAAAAGGAGACACCAAAUCGCUCAUACCUGUCAUCAGUUAGUAUCCUACAUCAGUAUGCAUGACCUCAUAGAGUGUCAACUAAUAACAAGUUAACUCAAGAGAGAUGUGGAACCUUGGCAAUAACCAGUUGCAGGAUCAACCCAAGCAUAGACAGCAAGGAUAUCAGACAUUCUUCCUAGAUUUCUCGGAUCCUCGUAGAACUCAAGGUGUGUAUCUGUCCUUACCACAUCCACAACUGUUUGAAAACAAAAAAUAUAUCAUUGAUCCCUCAGAGUAGUGACCAUUAAAAACAUAAGAGACUAUACACAACUAGUACCUAUUCGGUGCAAUGUCCAAAGCCAUUCAGACAUCCGAUCUUCCGUGACAGUCCCACCACGAGAAGGAGUCUCCUUUGCUGAUGGCACUUCAGGAACAUCUGAGAUUCUCAAACCAUCAACUAUCUCCACCGUGGAGCCAGAAUGAGACAGCUGUUCAACUGACUCAGGAUGCACCACUUCAAUCUCUGAGUGAAUGGAUGCAGAUCUGUUGUUGUUAUAAGAAGACUCUAUAACAAGAUCUGCGUUCUUAUCAAUUCUAAAACUGUGCAUUCCCUCAUCCUCAGAUCUUAACUCACUCCGAACUGAAGCUUCCUCAUCUGGAGUAGAAACCCCUUUCUUAUCUAAACUACUCCUCCCAAACAAAUCUGUGACUGCUAGAGAGGGGAAGUCAAAAACACCAUCCGCAACAAAAGGAGUGCUUUCAGGACUUUCUCUUCCACUUACUAUGUCAACUGACUCACUAGAACUUCCUCUUCUAUGGCCAUGAGAUGUGUCAGUGUCGUUAUUACUCGAAUCACCACCGUGGUUUUCAAUAUUCUCAUUAUCAUUUACAGAAGCUUCUGUGCUUCCAUCUGUAGAUUCCUUUACAACUUCUUUCUUGUAUGAUUUUCGCAUGUCCAUGACUUUGGAUCCUACAACAUAGGCAAGCGAACCAGUUCCCACGCUCGAAUGCAUCAUCUGGCAUUGCUUCAGCAGAUCAUUGUAUCGUUCUCUGCAUGAAUGGUAAAAGAGAGAGCAUCAAACUAAGAAGUCUCUCUGAUGACAACAUAAAAAAGCAAACAAACAGACUGUCCAACCUUCGAGCUUCCCUGAGUUGACUACGGUACUCAGAGGUGCUGCUCAAUGCGUAACAGCCAAGGAGAAACUCCCAAACUUCAGCUCUUAUUGAUGGGUCGAUCCCCUAAUAACAAGAAACAAGGGGGAUGUAACGAAAGAAGAAAGUGUGAAUGCUACAAAACUCAUCUGAAAACAAAGGAAACAUUACCCCCAAGAUAAUUAAUUUGAGCGCCUUGUGGAAACCAAAAACCUUUCCAUCACAAUCGAAAAAAGCCCUCCACUUCUCUGGCUUAAGCAUCUUGCCUAUCUGUACAAUCAACACACUAAACACAUUGAAUCAUCUUGCUGCAGGUGGGAGCAAAACUACAACAUUAGUACAUUAUACUUUCAGCAGGCAACACACAAUGGGUUCUGAAACUUUCAAGACAUAAAAGGGUGAGGGAUACUUCUUACAGAUAAAAGAAGCUGAAUCCCUGGUUGUGAAAGACAAGGCUGGCUUAGAUCCCGGACUAAAGAAGCCACUUUUUGCAAACUUACCACACCAGCUUUCCCACAAGUCCAUUUCUUUCCCUCUCCACCACAAAGCAUCAGUAAUCAAACGGAAUCAUCCGCUAGAACCCAACCCCAAAAGCACCAAAUCAAAAAAACCUGCAACAAGACAGUAAAGUAUCAACAUAUGAACACAGCCAAUAAUGAAAUAAUUAUAUUGUCAUAGACAAGCAAAAAGAGUGAUAUAAGCAGUGAUGAAUGUAUAUGAACCAACCAACCAAACACGAAUCUAGAAGGAGCCAAACAAAAUCAGAAUCUAACUCUCGUUGAUUCCAGAUAAUUAGAGCUUGGAAAGGAGAAAACUUUGGGGUCACAAACAUGAAUCAGAGGAGAAGUAAUGAGAGAUCAUUCGAUCUAGACACAAAAAAAAGUAGACUGGAAUCCCACAACAGAAACAGGUGGAAGAGCUUAGAUGUUACAGAAACAUUCAUCGAAAUAGAAUAAAUCUAGUGCCUUUGGAUGCAGUUAUCAUCCUAAGAUAAGCAAUGCAAUUAACAAAAAAUGGCGAAUGCAGAGAGAGAGAACCUGUUAAUUAAAAUGUUUUAUGGAGGAUGCUCUUCACCGAUCGCCAUUAUUCCUUUCUCCGUUUAUUUAUCUCUCUCUGUUUUCUCUCGUCUCUCGUUGUCUUUCUUUUUGUUUUUCUGAUGAAACAAGUUUAUGUUUCUUGUCUCUUCUCUCUCUUGUCUCCUGUCUUUUGUUUUGUCGUCUCUUUUCUCGCAAAACUUUCUCCUUUUUCUUUUUAUUUAUGUUGACAUUCAAUUUAGUCAAAUGUAAUUUUACACUCAUGAUGAUCCAUGAAAAUAAGCCAAAACAUUAAUACUAAUAUUUCCACUCAAGUGUGAUAGUGAUACAUGAAUCUCAACAACAUAAAGAAAGUAUGUGAGCCCCUACUAUUAUUAUUACUCAAAAAUUAACAUUAAUUGUGGUCCGGUCCGGUGGAUAUGCCAUGCAUGUUACUUUUAGAUCUGAGCAAGUGUUCCACUUAAAUGCAUUUUUUUCUUUAAUUUAUCUUUCAGGAGAUAUAUAUAUAUGUUUUUGUCUUCUAGUUGGGCAAAAACUUUUUUAUAUAUUUUUAACUUUUUUUUUAACCUUUUUUUUGUUAUUUUCUUAAUGUGGGGUAGAAUCGUCAUUUACGUUUCCUCUUUUCCUUAGGUUUUUUUUUGGGUUUCUCUGCAACUAUAAUACGCGACAGCUGACUGAUUUUGAUGGCCUGUAGAGCAAUUUUCUUCGUUUUUCUUGCCCCAAACUUGAUAGAUCUUAAGUAGAUUAUUCGAUUUACGGAUUGAAAUAAUAAAAUAUUUAGUUUUUUUUUUUUUUUAAAUCCGAUUUUUUGAGCGUGGACCUGCAGUUCGCCAGAGUUUUAGAAGAGAUUAGUUUACUGUCUCUGGUGAAUUAGUUUGGAAAUGGAAAGUAGUGAAAGAGAAGAGCUUGGUAGCUUCUUAACUGCUGUUCCCCCUGUGGAUUUCUGUUGUGUUUAUGGUUCAACGCUGCACCCAAAUAACCAAGAUAAGGUAUUUUAUUUAUUUCAUAUCUAUCUGUGUGUGAUUAGAGAGCUUUCUGAUUGAUUGACCAUGCAGUCUAAAAUGGUGGACUACAUCCUUGGCGUUUCUGAUCCCAUGCAAUGGCACUCUCAGGUGAGUCUCAAGAAACACUUUCAAUAGAUUAUACUAGGCUGGCUGGAUUUUUAACUAUUGUUUUGUAUCAAGAAUCUGAAAAUGAAUUCACAUCACUAUGCUUCAUGGAUGGUUCACCUUGGUGGAGCUAGGCUGGUAUGUUUUUCUCUCCCAUACCCUUCCGUUGCUUUUUAAGUAAACAAUGAACGAACGAACACACACUCUUUUCCACAGAUUACGGAAGUUGCAGAUAAAGUAGGUGUUGGAGUUCACUUCAACCCAUUUGUCACUUGGACCGACAGGGUAACAACCUCCUGUACCAUUCUUUAUAACCUAAUUGAACAAUCCAAGCUUGUGUAUUUCAUUUGUAGCCAUUUUUUUCUUGCAGAAGCUAAAGUAUGGGGUUGUUCGGAUGAAUGACCUAGUACAGGACAUUCUGGACUGGAACAGAUUCUACUUGAGUGGCCGUUUACAAAAACCGGUAUGUCAUUUGCUUGGUCUUCUCACUGUUCACCGUGCAAGGAUUGUGAGAUGUAAUUGGGAAGUGCCACUCUUGGUUGCAGCUUCAUUUGCUUGUUGAUAAUCUGGACAUAGAAGACGUCAACUCUGUUAAUAAGAGAGCCGCACUAUCUGCAGCCCUUCUUCUCUUGCCUUCCAAAUUCACCCAGGUUAGAGUUCAAAUGAAGUUUUAUGAGGCUGUACACUAAAUAACUAACACAACUCUUAUGCAGGAAGAUCUAUACGCCAAAAUAUGCAGCCUUUCUUACAUGGGAGACUUGCGAAUGCUUUUUGCAGAGGACACUAAUAAAGUGAGAGAAAGCCUAGUCCUGUUCACAUUGUCAUAACAUGUUAAUAUAACUUGUUCGGAUGAAAAGAUUUCUGAUCCAUUAGUUCAAUCUCCUGUCUUUUAGGUGAACAAGAUUGUAAAGGGGCAGUUUGAUCUUUUCCAGUCAAUGUAUAAGCCUUUUCUUCAAGAGUGCGAGACCAAAAACUUACUGAGAUUCUCAUCUGCUGAAACUAAUUUAGUUCAGGUACACACAGUUCAGAGCUAUAGCCUAUAUAUAUAUAUGUGGUUGGCUCACUCUUGAGAUUCUUUCAGUCAUUGUUCUGAUACCAACUUGUGGACAGGACUCUAGCCUUUCAUCAUCACGCUCACUGGUCUCUUCUCUUCCUGCAUCAGUAAGAAGCCAAAUGAGCAAGUUACUUGGGGAAAAGAAAAUCUUGAGUGAGACCGGUAUCAACUCUGCUCUCUCUAGUUAUAUAAAAAGGAAAUGGAGGGAUAGUAAUUGAUGGUUGAAAUGGUACAGGUAGAGUUUCAAGGGAAGUUUGUAUAGGUUCAAGAGAAGAAGCAGCGAAAUGUAUGGAGAAGGUAAUGAAGCGAAGGGUAAUGGUUUCAAGCGCAAGACAGGCUGUGUCUGGCUUCUUGGCUGCUGGUGCUAUUAAUGCAACUGUGUAUCUUUCACAGAAAAUGCGCAAAGCUUGGAAUUCUCGGUCAUGAAAGACUUUUAGAUCAACUGUUAGUUGAAGAAAGUAGAUCUUGCCACUAUUAGUUCUUCUUUCUUUCUUUUUCUAAGUACCAACUUUUCUUUUUGUGUUGAUGGUUAUGUCUUUUUCUAAGUAGAUCUUGCCACUAUUUAGUUGAUCAUUCUUUCAUUCUUUCUUCUUUUAGUUGAUCAGUAAAAUGCAUUCAGUCGUCAAAGACCUUAAAAAUUUGCAGCUCUUCACCUGCCAAAUAUAGCUAAGUAUCUCUUCUAGUGGAGGAAAAAAACUGUUUGCUUGCUUAGGACUAAGUCAGGCAUUAUAUAACAGGUGAUACUUCAAAAUAUUAUAAGAAUGACAUCUAGUUAAGAUGCAUGGUAUACUUUCUUAAAGCCAAUGUUCAAUCAUAAGCACUACUACAAGAUCUUUCAUAUACAUAUUAAGUAUCACAACCCUUCAUAUAUAUAAACUUUCUUAUAACCAAAGUUCACUACAAGAACUUUUAUAUACAUAUUAUCAUAACCCUUUAGAUAUACAUGUGGCAAUCACAAUUCAUGAUUCGAUUAUAUAUUCCUAUGAGCAUAUGAUUCAAAAACCAAUAUACUUAAACCAAUUCAAGAUUAUAUACAUUGGAUCUAAAUCAUGAUUUAAUUUGAUUACAUAACAAUUAACUUCAAUAUUGGUAUUUAUAAUUGGCUGACACAAAAAAAAACAUACCAAUUAACUUUAAAGACAUAUUCAGCUGCUUGUGUUAUGAUUUGAUUUAUAUGAUUUGGGAUACUCGCUAGUUUGAAGAACUUCAUCCCUAGCCUAUGGCAUGAUCAAUGUAGAUAAUGAAAAGGAUUAGAAGAGCUGUACACUUUAGACCUUACCUUGAAGACCAAGUAAGAAAGGUUUGAAGCUCAUGCGAAGGCUGGAGAUUACACUAG